rnacentral:lncRNA from 1 species
AAUAUUUAACAAUUUACAUACUAAAAAUAAUCCAAACAAAAUUUAAAAUGAAACAGUAUCCAAAAUAUUAUUAUUUAAUAAAAUCUCCUUAAAAUAUUUUUUUUCUACAUAUUAUUUAAUUUCCAUGCAAAUCUUCUACAUCAGAGAAUAAAAAAUUAUAUAAUUUAUUUAGAUAAAAAUGUAGGAACUCUCCCUCAUCUAUAAGCAAUUUAUCUCCUAAUUUUUUUAUUAACAUACACAUAAUUACUAAUUAAGCCAAAUAAAUUAAAAUUUAAACCAAAAUUUUAAAAAAAUUUAGUAAUAUAUUUUAAUCAUAUUAAUUUUUUAUGAUCUAUUUAAAAUUUAAAAGUCGUUAAUAUUUAAUCUUUUUAAAUUUUAGAAAAAUAUUUUAUUAUUUUGAAUAAAUAAAUUGUGUAAUGUCUAUAUAUGUUUAAUCAUUCGUGAUAUAUAGCACAUUAAGCUAUUCCAUUUAUUAUGAUUUUGAAUUAUUAUAUUGUUUUGAGUUUUUUCCUAAUAUCAUUUUAAAGAAUUUUUUUAUUUGUAAAAAAAUUUUAAACAUUGUUUGAUUUUUAAAUUUCCGUGGGACUUAAUCUACAUGUAUUAGAAGUUUGAAAAAAUUAGAUUUUUUUUAAAAAUUAAAAGUUAUGCAUUUAGUUUUCCAAAAAUUUUAACCAGUAUAUAUUAUAUUUUUAAUAUUUUAUGUAACGUGUAUUUCACGUGCACUUAGCUAGUAAAUCUAAGCUAGAAACUAAAAUGAAGAAUUAGGUAUAGAUUAAGAAUAUUGGGUAGAACCAAAAUACUUUUUCAAUUGUCAAAAAAAUGAUUGUUUCGGUGAGUAGAAUGACGACGAAGUGCUGCCAAAUGUGACGAUAACGAUAUGCUAGCGAAGGCGACAAUGAUUGGCGAAGGUGAUGACGAUGACGUGUUGCUGCCAGUGAGGAGGACAAUGAUGUGUCGGAAGGACGAUGACUUACGCAAUUAAUAUGAGAGAUAAAAGAUCAUGAAAAUGCAAACUUAUUGGCAGUUAAAGAUCUUAAAAAGUAAAACAAAGUAUACAAAAGACAAAUUAGAUAGAAAAUUAUAUAGAUCUUAAAAAGUAAAACAAAGUAUACAAAGACGAAUUAGAUAAAAAAUUAUAUUAUGACAUAUUAAAAUGAAUUAGGUGGAGCUAAAAUAGAGCUAAAAUACCUUUCCAACUGUGACGAAGGUGAUCAGGGACUACGACGAUGAGGAACAAAUAAAAUAUUACUAAAAUAAUAUUUGAGAAAAUAAAAAUUUGAGAAAAUGUAUAGUGGAAAUGAAAAAGAAUAUGCUUUAUAUUUAAAAAACGUAUAGAUGAAGAUGAGAAAGUAUUGAAAAAAGUUAUACUUUAUGUAUGAAUAAGUAUUAUGAUGAGAUCAAAUUAGUUAGGGAAGGAAAAUUUUAUAUGCGAGUUAUUAAGAUAUUUUUUAUAUUAAGAUAUAUUGAGAUAAAAUUGGGUAGGGAAGGAAAAUUUUAUAUGCAAGGGUAUUAAGAUAUUUUUUAUAUUAUGCGUAGAUGGCGGGCGGGUAUUACAUGAGAGAAAUAUUAAAUAUUUCGCUAUAUUUUUCAAUUUUUGACGAAUUCAAAUUUUAAAUAUAUAUAUAUAUAUAUAUAUAUAUUAAAGUAAAAAUAUUAAAAUUUUAAUUAUGUUUAAUUUUAAGAGUUAAAAUUUAAUUUCGAUCUACUUUAAGAUUUAAAUUUAAAAAUUUAAAAAUUUUUAAAAUUUAAUUUCGAUUCACUUUAAGAUCUAAAUUCAAAUACAUGGGUAGUGGAGAUAUUAUAUACUUUUGAAAAAUCUAAAAUUUCAUGAAUUAUUUGAAAUGAAUGGUUCAAAAUUUCUGACCAUGAAAAAAUUAGUAAAAAAAGACAGACAUUUUCAGAAAGAAAUUCAUGUUUAAUUAAAAAUCAAAUUUUAAUUUUGAUCCAUUUUAAGAUUUAAAUUCAAAUGCGAGGGUAGUGGAAAUAUUAUAUGUUUAUAACGAAUUCAAAAUUUAGUGGAUUAUUUGAGAUGAAUGGUUCAAAAUUUCUGGACAUGAAAGAAUUAGUUAAAAAGAUAGAGAUAUUUUCGCAAUAAAAUUUGUUUUUAAUUUAAAAUUUAAAAUUUAAUUUUGAUACAUUUUUAUAUUUAAAUCCAAAUGUAAGGAUAUAUUUAAUUCAAACUUAUGAUAGGUUAGAGAAUUUUUGAGAAACAAUGAAAAAAAAUUAGAAUUACAUUUUCGGAAAGAAAUUCAUUUUUAAUUAAAAAUCAAAUUUUAAUUUUGAUCCAUUUUAAUAUUUAAAUUCAAAUGCGAGGGUAGUGGAGAUAUUAUAUGUUUAUGACGAAUUCAAAAUUUAGUGAAUUAUUUGAGAUGAAUGGUUCAAAAUUUCUGGACAUGAAAAAAUUAGUUAAAAAAAUAGAGACAUUUUCGCAAUAAAAUUUAUUUUUAAUUUAAAAUUUAAAAUUUAAUUUUGAUUCAUUUUAAUAUUUAAAUCCAAAUGUAAGGAUAUAUUUAAUUCAAAAUUAUGAUAGGUUGAGUGAAUUUUUGAGAAAUAAUGAAAAAAAAUUAGAAUUUUGAUGAGAUAUUUGAGAAAAAAAAAGCGUGGAUAUUAUGUGUGAGAAGAAAAAUAUUUAAAAAACGCAUAGAUAGAAGAUAUGAUAUAAAUGCGAGGAUAUUAUUGUCACAAAAAGUGACAGUGUGACGCCCCAACUUCCCAGGGGGUCACCCAUCCUAGGACUACUCCCGUCCUAGCACACUUAACUCUCUUAACCUCUUGGGGCUUGCCAUCACCCAAAAUGCUUAAGCCGGGUUAAGAGUUUAGUCCUAUUAUAUCUCAUAUAUAGAACUAUCUGGGGUCUCACAGACAGAUAUCGCUAGAUAAAAUCUAAUAGUAAAAAAUUAAUAUCUUUAUUUGAGAAUAAAUUAUUACUUAAUAAAUUAUUUGAAAUGAUUGGUUGAAAAUUACUGGACAUGAAAAUAUUAUUAAAAAGGAUAGAGGCAUUUUUGGAAAGAGGAAAAAUUCAAAACCCACGCUUUUAUAAGUAGUAUAGAUUAGGCUACUAUACUAUCUAUAGUACCGGAGCUCCGGUACUGUAGUUUUAUUUUCCAUAUUAGGGUGUUUAAAUUAACGAUCCACAAUAUUAAAUAUGAUCUAGGGUAUAUAAAGUUUUUAGGAAUAAAAUUUUAGUUUUUUUCGACAUCGUUUACUUAGUAAAUAAAUUAUAUCAAAAUGAACAGUAAUAAUUGAAUAAUCUUUAAAAUUUGAGCAUAGGACUUUUAAAUUCAAGAUCAAGAAUAUUAACCAUAAUCUAGAUAGUUUAAAGUAUUUUCUAUCAAAAUUUGAAGAAAUUUAAAUUCUUCUACACCGUUAAACUCCAAACUUGCCAUAGUAGCCAUUGAAAAUUGAUAAUUUUGAAAUGGCUUGAUCAUAAAGUAAACUAUAUCGAAAAAAUAUAAAAUUUUAUUUUUAAAAAUUUUAAAUACCCUAUAUCAGUUUUAACAGUAUGGAUCGUUAAUUUGAACACCCUAAGAUCACCCUAAGAUCGAAAACGAGACUAUAAUACCAGUCCCGGUACUAUAGAUAGUAUAGGAGACUAGCUCUCUCUCUCUCUCUCUCUCUCUCUCUCUCUAUUAUACUCUUAUGAGUAUAUCUAUACCUCUCUCUCUCUCGCUAUUAUACUCUUAUGAGUAUAUCUAUACUUUUAUGAGUAUAAAUAUUUUUAUACUCAUAAGUUUUUAACUUUUGGAUGAAGGGAUGUGUGGUUAAGAUAGUAAUGGAUCCCAAUUAGGAUGAUAGUGAACCAUAGGGUUGAGUGGAUGGUUGGUUGAACAAUAUGAUCUAACAAGUAUAAAUGAUCAAAGGGGUAAAUGUAACAUCCGCAAACUUAUAAGUACAAAAGAAUUUACACUCAUAAGAAUAUAGUAGCCGAAGAGAGAGAUAGUUAGGCUGGAAUGCUUCUAAUAGCACCAAGUCAUUAGUGCUAUUAAAUUUUUGGCCCUUGGAUGAAGGGAUGUGUGGUUAGAAUGAUAGUGAUCCCAUAGGAUAGAGUAAGUGGUUGGUUGAAUAGGAUGAUCUAAGGGGUGGUCCAGGGUCUAGCUAGGGUGGUUCUAAUAGCACAAAGCAUUUGGUGCUAUCAUCAACCAGUUCUAUCUCUUAGAUCAUGCUAUUCCACCAAUCAACUACUAAACCCCUUAUAGGAAUCCAUUAUCAUCAUAACCCUACAAGUCUUCAUUCAAAAGUCGAAAACCUACAAGUACUAAUGACUUGAUAUUAUUAGAAGUAUUCUAAUCCAGCUACUAUCCUUUUAGAAAUAUCCUUCUAAGUCAUUUUAGUAGUAUGGAUUCCAAAUCGAUGAUCGGAAAUGUCAAAAUUGAUCUAGAGUAUUUAAAGCGUCUAGAAACUAAAUUUCAUAAAUUUUAAAGUUAUCAAAAAUUCCAAAUCUAGAGUAUAAAAAAUUUUAUAUCAAAAAUUUAAGUGAUUUAAAUUGCUCUAUACUGUUAAACAAGUAAACAGCUCAUAUUCGCCCUUAAAAACUAUCGAUUUUGUAAUCCUUUAAUAACUAUGUAAAUAAUUUUUAAAAGCUAUAAGAUUUAGUCUCUAGACGCUUUAAAUACUCUAAAUUAACUUUAACGAUUUCGAUCAUCGAUUCGGAAUCCCUGUUAUAUAAAACGACUUAUGAGGACGAAUGCCUCCAUCCUCCCAAAAAGAUAGUAGCUGCACUCAUAUUGAUGCCUCCAUCUUCCUUCGUCCUCCAGCUACUAUAUAUAUGAUAUAUCAAUUGAUAAUUAUAUUGAUUAAGAUCAAUUAUAUUGAUUAAUAUUAAUGGCCAAUUGGAUAACAAAAAGAAAAAGGAAAAAAAAAGACGAUUAAUUACACCAUUAUAACACAUUCUCAGUGUACAAAACAGACUCCAAGUGCAACAAAACACACUUUCACAAGUUCAUCACCAAACAAAGAUGAUUUCAGAAGUCACGCAAACGAGAGAAUUAUUGAGAUAAGAAAAUGUGAAAAGGAGGGUGGAUUUAGAGUUCUCACCUCUUAGGGCUCAAAAACCAUACUCUCAGCUUCUUUUUUGAUCGAUUGGAAGAGCGGCGUGGAAAGAUAGCGCUCGCCAAAACUUGGGAUCACAACCUGCAACAAGAGAGAGGGGGAAGCAAAUUCAUUCAAAAGCCAAACGAGCAUGAGUGGAGAUCAAAAUUCUUAGUAUUUUAAUAAGAUGAGUGAAUCAUUCUCAUAUAUUAACAUGACAAACAUUUGUUACCGCAGCAGUUUAGCAUUUGAUUAGAUCAAUAAACACAUUGUUUUAAGACGUAAGAGGGAAUAGAACUAUCUAAAUAUUGUCUAAGUAGAGUUAUUUGAAGAAUCACCGAUAGUUCUUUCUUCAAGAUCCCAUCGUUAGUUCCACACUGAAGCUCGAAGUAAAAGCUUCAAACUCCGGCCACAUCUUGUGAGAGAUUGAAGUUCAUCUCAGCCUCCUGCUCCAGCUGCUUCUUAAAGCUGGGUUAGUAUCUGCUAUCUAGGACCAUGAGCUUAGAGCUGUGCCUCAACGACAGGCUACUGGUCUUUCCACUUCUUUUUACUCAGGGAACACUUCAGAAUAAUUUCAAUCUAAUUCCAUGUUUCGUUGAAACUUUUAUCAUUUAUUAGGUACACAGAUCCAUUUCAAACAUGCUUUCCACCUUAGCUAUGAAACUUAUUUGAAAUUCCUAGAAGCCUAACUACAAAUUUAUCCCAAAAACUUUGGAUACUUGUGAUCAAAUACUAGAGAAAGAAAUAUUGACGAAGAUUUCUUAGCGACAUGACUUCUCUUUCUCGGCAAUACUUAGAGCGAUCCAAAGUGUCCAUAGGCCAGGUACGGGUCACAAGACAGGAUCCAAUAAAUUUCAGGUUUUGGUGCAAAUCAGGCCCCGAGUUUAGCGAAUGAUAUGGCUUUUCUUUUCCAGGCAUUAUGAAGAGAUAAAGAGUAUAAUAGGAAAAUAAAGGAAAAUAAAGAUAAAGAGUAUAAUAGGGAAAUAAAGGAAAAUAAAGGACAAGACAGGCUUGAAUAGCAAAAGCAUAAGCACUCACAACAAUUAGUUUCCCCUCAUUUUCUGCUCUCUGUGCAACUCUGAUCGCUGCAGCUGUAGCAGCUCCAGAUGAUAUUCCAACCUGCAAUGGUUGUGCCAUAAUCAGCAAUAUAUAAGAAGCUUGGCAAAGAACCACAAUGUCGGAAAUUUCCUUGAGCCUAAACAAUGAAAUGUUGCAAAAUAGAAAGACUCACCAACAACCCUUCUUUGAGAGCAAGUGUUUUUGCCAUUUCAAUUGCCUCCUCACUUGAGAUCUGAUCAUGAUCACCAGCACAUUAAACAAGAACAACAGAAGUUCGAAAAUGAUAUCACGUAUAUAAUGUUAUAAUCUGAAAGGUAUGCAAGAUGUGAUCCAAACUAAGGGCCUGUUUGGCCAGCCUGGAGAUUUUGCAGUAGUGUUAUCUGACCAAAGCCUUUCAACUAAGCACUAAUAGCUAUUUUACUCAAAUCUUCUCAACUAUUUCUUACUGUAGAAAAAACAAGAGCUUCAAAUUAGAGUUUCUGUUUAUGGGGCCCAAAAGUGCAUUUUAGCAUUCGCGACAACAAAAUUUUCAGACUAUUUAUUAGCUAAAGUUAUUUUUUGGAGAAUCUACUUUCUAGAGUAGAGAAGUAGGUCCAAAGCUGGUUGAUGAAAUCAAUAAUGAUUAAUGUGCUAACCAGCCAACCAAAUUUAGCCAAGAAAGGGAACUCAUAAUUAAAUUAAACAAAAAUGAACUUACCUGGAUAACUUCAUCAAGGAGAUGUACAUUCAAAACACCGGGUAUAAAACCAGCUCCUAUUCCUUGGAUUUUGUGCGGACCUGGCAUAUUUGUGAAGCAUAUUAGUAGAAGUUUUUUCAGAACUACCAUCAACAAGAACCAUCCUCUCUGAAGAAAGUAAAUGGAGAAAAAUACUAAAUAUGCUAAGAUGUGAAUAGCAAUAAAUGAACAAAAAAUGGUAGCCAUGAUGGGAAGAAAUAGAUCUUUUAUGUGAAAUGUUAUUACAACUUCAUUUUUCUCCUAGUGUUACCAAAGGCAUCUUGAAAGCGUGUGUAGGUCAUGUCAUGCUAUCAAAAACCGAAGAGACUGUAAAAGCUGGAACAGGAAAAAGGGGGGAAAAACAGAUUUUUAUGUUAAAAAAAACACACUUUUUCAUAGGAAAAGAAAAUUGUUAUUUUUGUAGGGUACAUAAGAGAAUGUCAAUAAAUAUCUGUUUGAAGGAAGAAGACUGAAAGUUGUGUAUACAACAAAGAUAUGUCUACAUCAUCAAAAUAAUAUAGAAUAAUAGAUAGAUGAAGUAUAUAUACAAACUUCUACUAUCACCAAAAUCAAAUAUCAAGAAAUAAGAGUGAGUUUGAUCAAAUGCAAGAAUUCACCAAAAUAUGACAAAAAAAAAAACCUACAUGACAUUGGCGCAAAAAGUCUACCCAUUCCUUUUUCUCUGAUGGCAGAUACAUAAAGUACGAGCAGUGAAGUAGGACCAUGAAUUUUUUGAGCUUAUAAAUAUGUAAUCUUUUUACAAUCAUCCAAAAAAUAAAAAAUAAAAUAAAAGAGAUGUCUACAGCAUAGAAGGCAGUAUGACAGAAUAAAGAGAAUUAUAGGCGGGGUGAGGUUACCAGGUUUUCCCCCAGCUAAGACAGGACUCUCAGCUGGUUCCACCCCGUACAGCUUAAUGGAGGAAACAGAAACCAUAAAAAGUAAAAUGUUAGUUUAAGUGCAAAUUACAAAGGCAUAAAAAGGAGGAAAAUUUAGGAGAGCUCACCUUGAUAUUAGGGUUUUGCUCUUUGAGAUACCUUCCUGCUCCCGUAAUAGUACCGCCGGUACCUAUACCAGCUACUAGGGCAUCAACUUUGCCUGCAGUUCCUUCCCAAAUCUCAGGCCCAGUUGUCUCAUAGUGAAUCUAAAUUACAUUAAAGAAUAAUGGUUAAUUAAAAAAUUUAUUCCCAAAAGUUUGAUUGGAAAUUCAAUUCCAUCAUCUAAGUUUCAAUUGUAACAAUUUAGUUCCUAAACUUUCAGCUCAUUUUUCAAUUUCUUUCUCCUAGUUUCAACCCUUACAAGCUUGUCACCAAAGUUUGAUCCUGGUUUCAAUAUAACCCCUAGAUUUUUUUUUUCUUUUCAAUUUUGCCAAAACAAAGUCUAGAGACAGUACCUAAUCGGACUUAAUUGCAAUGCUGAGUGAUUUGUUACCACUAAAACUAUGAACAAGGAAAUUUUCUGAUUAUCUAAGAAAAUCUAACACUAAUAAUCCCACAAUUACCUUUGGGUUAGCAGGGUUUUCAAACUGCUGAAGGAUAUAAGAGUUGGGCGUCUUUGCCGCCAAUUCCUCUGCCUUUUGGACUGCUCCUUUCAUGCCCAAAGUUGGAUCGGUUAAAACCAGUUCAGCACCAAAAGCCUUAAGAAUGAUCCUUCUUUCAAGGCUCAUUGAAGCUGGCAUCGUCAGUAUGAGCCGAUAACCCUUUGCAGCUGCCAUAAAGGCCAGUCCAAUUCCAGUGUUUCCACUGGUGGGUUCUAUGAGCACACUCUGAAAAGAAAAUAUUCACAAGUAUCAAUCAGGUGUUCCAUGAAAUCUUCCUAUUAGAAUUGUUUCAAGAGCCUGCGUGAACAUCCAAACAUGUCCGUAUGGAGAUAACUUGGCGUUUUUUAUGGUGCUGCGUAGGAGUUUGACUUUAAAUUUUCAAGAUCCUGAUUAUCAUUUUCUCAAGACAAUGCAUUUCAACUACGAGGUGAUUUGUCAUAGUCAUAUCCUUAAUAGCUGGGCUUGCUUGUUCGUUCUCAUGUGACAUCUCAACAACAAACAAAAUAAACAAUCCUAUGAUAGGCAAGAGGAGAUAUGCUAUAUAAGUCACGUAAGCAUUUAAAAUUUACAAAAUUGGUGACAAUUUUCAUAUCUAUGCACAUUUAGCAUUUUAGCUCUGUAAAUAUAUUGUUUCUUAACCCCAAAUCAAACUUCUUCAUAUAAAAGGAAACCAGAAACCCAAAAAAUCUAACCCACUCCUAAUCUUGAAAUUUGACCCAAUUCCAUUCUUUGUUUUGUUGUAAUAAUUAGACUAACAUUCAUAUAAAACCCACACAAAAGUUUAUCAUAAUUUCGCUCAAGAAAAUCAUAAAUUUGUUUUUUCCAAUUCAAAAUCAAUUGAAGCGCAAGAAUUGAGAAAAAAUAUUUGAAAAACCGACCCUCCCAGGUGUGAUGAACCCUCUCUCCUCCGCAUCAGCGAUCAUGCUGUAUCCAAUCCUGUCCCAUUCGAUUCAAACUCAUCAAGAAACUCCCAAACCCCAAGUAAAAACAACAAUAAGAGAUGAUCGAUAGUUAAAAUUAGGGUGUAAUACCUAUCCUUGACGCUGGAACAGGGCUCCAUCAUCUCCAACUUCGCCGCGAUACGCGCGACGCACCCCGUGGUCACAUUGUUGAGGUACACCAACGGGGUUUUGCCGAUCAACUGCGUAUCAACAAAUCGAACACCAAAUGCCAAAAAAAAAACAGAAAAAAAAGAGCUGAUGCAACACAAUCGAAUCCAAAGCGAAGCAAAAAAAGAGGAAAAAACAGGAGAAAAGAAGGGAGAGAACGAUCGAUUCGCACCUCCGUGACGUCCUUGGCGAUCGUGGGAACGGAUUCGUCCAUACUGGAGAAAAAGCGAAAUGAGCAGGAAAAAAAAAAAAAGAAGCGAAGGUUUGGAUAUAGGAGGAAGAGGAAAGAGGAAAACGAAGAGGAGAAUGGUGCGUACGAACUUCUAUGAUCUUCUACGACGAGGGAGACGCAUUAUAUAUAGCGUUACAUUUGCAGAUUAGUAUCCAAUAUUUUAUGGUAUUUUAACCAAGUCCCUUAUUAGUACGUAGGGAAUAGGGAUGCGAACAGGGCCGAUCCGGAUUCCUACCAUUCCGUCCUGUAGUUUGUUGGAUCGGACGGAGUAAAUUUUUAGCAAAUUUUUUACGAAUUAAAACAAAUUAAAGAAAAAAAAUAAAAAUAUGAACGAAACUUAAUUGGUAGUAAUUAAAGUUUUCAAUUCGAAACUUAAUUAUUUGAUACAUCGAGUUCAAAUUUUUUUUAAAAGAAAAUAUGAACGAAAAGAAGAGCAUAUUAAUUUUUUCUAAAAAAAAAAGGAAUGUACCGGUAGGAUCUCUGACCAUCUAGAAUAGUAAUUCGUUCGUUUAACAGCCACCGAUCAAGCUUUUGUUUUCCGGUGGCAUUUAGUUGAGGGGCGUGUUUGUCCUCUUAACAAACUAGCUAGUUAAAUCAAUGUUCACAUUAAAAUAUUAAAUACAACUUACAAAAAUCUCUUGAACUUUAAUAGGAAAGAGACAAAAAAGUUAAGGUAUCAAGUUGUAAUUAUAUUAUGGCUCUGGAGCUACCUGAAAAAUUAACCCUCCACGGCAAUGUGUAAAAAGUAAAAACUAGGCUCUCCCAAGCAAUUGAUCUCCCAGUAUAUAUAUAAAAGAAAAGUUACAACAACUAGUGAAUGGUUAAUGGACUUGCUAAUCAUAAACAGUGCCCAUUAUCUGUCCAAAUCCAUCCGACCAAUAUGGGUCUUUUUGGGUCUAAUAAUAAACAAAUUACAAGAAUAAUGAAAUAUAUAAUAAUUAAAAUAUUUACAAAUUAAAAGAAAAACCUAAAACACGAGAGCUUCGAGACAAAGUUGCAAUAUACCCCUGUUCAUUGCGGCAAGCAAAAUACAAGCUUUCCGAGUUAAAGGUAUCUGUUUCCAAAUAGCCCAGAGUUCAGGUAACCUCUACACAUUUUGAUCUUAUAUAGAAGAGAACUAACCUGGGCUUGAACUUUGAACAAAUACUUGGUAUCCAAGAGAAAUAGAAAAUACAGAGUCAUCAUCGGCAAGCCGAAGAGCAAAGCAAGCAAGAGAGAUAUAUCUAAUAAUUAGCUUUACAUAAUAUUAUAGGGUUUGAAUUUGAUUACAACAUGCUAGUGCCAGCUUAGCAAUAGUUUUAGGUACUCUCCAUAUGUCCAGCAUUAAGUGCCAUAGGAUUAAAACAUUCUCAAAUGCCUCCUCAAUGAAUUACAACCAUUAACAACCGGAGGCAAGAUACAGCAGCUGAUCUAACUUAAUAAGAACUAACCAAGCAUCUAAAUUAAAAGCACACACAACAAACAACCCUACCCUUUUUUAGUUUUAGUCAGUCGCUACAACAAAGACCGUUCACUUAAGAGACAGGGUUAUUAGAAGUAGUAACUAAUAGGCCAUCACUUACCGAUAAUAUACCUGCUGAAACGCCGGCGCGAAACCAUUGCUGUAACCCCCAUAAGCUGGAUAGCUCAUAGGAGGAGAAUGAUACGGCACGCCGAUAGGAGUGUUGGAUAUCUCUUCGGUUGGGUAUGCAUACGGCUCCCGCAUAGCUGGUGGGCUUCGGCUCCCAUAAAUGCCGGGGCCUGCGGGGCGAUCAUAAGGAUAAUGGGUUGACGACGGUGAGCGCACGAAGGUGGGAGGGGGGGCCUGGGGAGCUGGGAAAGAGGAAACAUAGGCAUUGGUAGUUAGACGGCCAGCCUUGGCAGGAGGCAUCGGUCCCCCGUUGUUCGCCCUAGUUCGUUUUGCGGCAGGAGCGUUGUUUGAAGAAGGGCUGCUGCUGCCCCCAGCUGGCUUCUUCUUCUCAGCCUUGGCCUUCUCUAGGUUCUCAAGACGCUUCUGAAGGCCCUCCAAGGGGAACUCUGCCUCAAGCUUGUGGUCCUCAAUGCAUUUCAUGACGGCACGGAUAGCUGACUGUUGUUUCCGAUUGGCAUUGUUCUGUUGAGGCAAAAAAAAAAAACACCAUCAAAGCCACUGCCUUGUGAAAAGAGAAGAAAAGUUUUUUAAAAAAUACGUAUUGGAAGGUUAGCUAGCAAACACCGUAAAAGUCACUGCCUUGUCAAAAAUGUUCUAAGAUGUACUUAGAUCAAACAUAUUGGAAGGUUAGCUAGCAAAACCAUGCUUUGUAAAGUUCAGGUCCCAUUUCAAGAUACGUUUUUAAUUACUGAAAACAGGAAUAAAAGAACCUUUAACUAUAACUUCACAUAAAUAAAAUACAAAUGGUCUUCCAAUAAAAAAAGGGCAGAAGGAUUUAAUGGGUCGAGAGUGCCCAAAAGAAGAAAAAAGAAAAAAAAGGUCAAAUUUACCACCAAAAAAAUGGUGCAACUGAGAAGAAUGAGAGGCAACAAAAAUUGAAAGUACUAACGCCACAAACAAACAUUCUAAGAAAGCAUAUUUCAGUAGAUUGUUCAGUAACAGCAAUAGAAACUAAAGAUGAUACUUGUUCAGUCUCAACUUACAGUGGCUCAUGUUCAUACAACAUCAGAAUAGUUAAUCUACAUACCACAGCUUGCCCGGAGUUGUUGUUAUCCUCUGAGUUCGAAGAUUGGAACUUUUUUGAGUCUUUCAAAAAGGAUUUCAGCAGAGGAACAGGGGGGAACUUGUCCUGAAGACCAGCCUCAUAUGCGAAAUUAACAGCAUCCAGAUGUUGUCCCUUGGCAAUAAGUUCCUCGAUUAUAUCUGCAAAUUGACGAAACAUUUGUAAUGAAGCACCUAAACAAGUAGAAGAAGAGUUUGCACAUUGACAUCUGGAAGUAGCAUGAAUAUUUCAGAAAGAGCAUUCUUCUCAGGCAUUUAAUUCAAACUAGAGAAUCAUACAUAAAGUCUGCAGAUAAAGGGAAGGGGAAGUAGGUUAGAAUGCUUCAGACAUAAUCUGCCCUCAAAUACUGCCUUGCACAAAAUCAACCUUAUACUCUGAGUACUUAUAUUGAAGAUCCUUACCAUUAAAGAUGAUCUUGAAGAGGUGGGCCGGCAACACUUUAAAAUAACAUCACGAAAUAUUUGGAGAAUUUAGAGAAGGCCAGUUCUUUAUGUGUGUUUAUGUGUGUUUACUCAGAUAUUUGUAGGAGCUUAAAUAACAACUACUAUUCAGUUCCAGAGAAUGCCAGACCAUACUAAAUGCAUUCAACAAGUGGGUACAAUUUCUGAGAUCUAUAACUUUCGUUUAGAAGUUCUGAAAAGCCUAAAAUGUUAUGCAAGCAACCAACCUACCUGAAGUGCCAAUGAAGUAGACACGUGAAUAUGUAAAUGCAUUUGUAUUGACUGCAAUCCAUAUAUGACAUGAUUUAUGUAUUUCAAAUAUACUGGAAAUGUACAUACAAACAUUCAAAGGGCCCAAAUAAAGGGUCCAAGAAGAAAAUCAAAUCUAUGCUGUUCUAAAAGAUCCAAUAGAGUAUAUCAUAUCAUAAGACAUUAGAAUGUAAUACCACAAUUACAAUUCGAACAAGACAUCUGAUCUUUAAAACAUUAAAAAGCAAAAAGUAUUAAGGGGCUGUUUGGUUCAAGGUUUGUAAUGUUCCGAAAAUAUUUUAUAUUUAAUUUUUGGAAUGUCAAGCUUGUUACUAAUUUAUCAAGCCGCGUGGGUUGGGACUUGGGAGGGUGUUAGGAGUUAGUAUAUUCUUAUUAAUGGACUACUAAUGAUUCCCAUGAAGUACGAAAAUUAGAAUACCGCCUAAUCUAUGAUAAUCUAGUAUUAAUACCAUCUAGGAACUUAUGAGGAUUCCACCACUUCACUAACACUCUUUACAACUACCCAACUUGGGUUGACUGGUAACAAUUUGAAUAAUUUCAAUAGAAAAUAUGGAAGAUUACUAGAAUAUUAUAAACCUUGAACCAAACGGGCCCUAAGAUCUACGUAAACAAUUUGAUGUCCACGAGUUUAAGUAGCUGAUUAUCAAAUGCAAUACAUACUGAUAGGUAGCUAUGGAAUAAAUGUUAGGGCGAUAACGGAUAUCUCGGGAGCAAUCUAGGGAGUGGUCCUCUUCAUUAGGGAUGCAUGUGCUACACUUUAGAAGAGCGGUCAUCUCGAUUUGGAUUAAUCGUGAAUGAUACAACCCAAACAAACAACAAUCAGCACAAAGCAAUAAGUUUAACCAAAAUGCCUUUUGCACCCUAAAAAACACAUUACAAUCAACUGACUUACAAUAGUAAAUCCCAUUUUACCAGUUAUUACUCGGGCUACCACUGGGUCUUACAUUUUUGGGACAUUUCAACAGGCUUAAAUUAAUUAUACGACCGAGCAAGCAUGAUGAAGGAAAAAAAGAAAAUUAUCAAAAGAGUCCUACCACCAAUACCAUUUAAGGCAUCGAUGAUCAUCAACCAAGCUGAUUGCAUAUGCUGACACGUCGAAAGAACAGGUUUAAUAGCACUAUCAGCAGUAUUAGUAUGAGCAAACAAUAUCAAAAAUCGAAAUUUUAUAGAUAGGUUUCAUAAAGGAAAGAAAGAAUUUCAUAUACCAGUCAUUCUAUCCUCAAGCCCCAGAGUGAGGGCCAGCUUCGGCAUCUGUCUCCUCCACGAGAAGCUCACGACAAUCUUUUCGUACAAUUCCCUAUCCUCCUUUGCGGCGAUCCCAAAGGUCACAACAUGCUGGGCGAAGGCGUGAGCAUCCGCAGGCUUAGCACUCUCUAUCCCACCACGCUGAUCCAAACCUUCCUUCCACCCCUCCGCCAUUUCCUUCGCUCUCUCCUUCAUGUCACGAGUCACCAGCGGCCUCACCGCGCCGAGCUCCGGAUCAGCUAAGGAGGGGACGAGAGAUUCGAGAAUAAGCACACAAGCCCACCCCAGAUCAGUCGGCGACUUCACCUCCCUUUUGUCGACAGGGAAAACCCUAGAAAUGGCGUCUAGAACGAAUCUGGCCGGAUCUAUGCAGCCGGCGAGGGCCAGCGGGAUCUCCGAGCGCAGGAGCUCCGCCUCCUUCCGCUUCGACACGACGAGAUCUAGGAAACCCUCGGAAUCCAUCUUCGCGCAGAGAGAUCGGAGGCUCGCGGGGAGAUCGGAGGCGGCGAGCGCUUCGAGGGCGGCGGCGCGGCGCUCGUCGAGCUUGGAGAGGGCGAGGUCGACGGCGGCGUCGAUCGAGAGCUCGCGGCGGCGGAGCGAGUCGAGGGCGCGCUGGGCCCUGAGGUCGAGGGACCGGCGCUUGGAGCGGAGCGACUCGGAGCGCUCCUCGAGCCCCCGCUCGAGGGACGAGAAGUGCUCCGAGAGCUCCUUCCACAGCGCCGUGCAGCUCGUGAUCAGCUCCCGCUGCCGCUCCAGCUCCUCGAAGCUCUCCCGCACCUGCGAGCUCGUCACCGCAGCGGCCGCGGCGGCGGCCGCCGAAGCCAUGGACGCAGCACGACGAUCUCGGCUCUCUCGCGAUGCGAUCGCUUGAUCCAGAGAAGGGAGGAGAAACCCAAACCCAAACCCUAACCCUAACCCUAACCUUAUAUAUAUGCAUAUCGGGACUAAACUUUUCGUUUAUAUACGCAAAUCCUACUCUAAUUCGUAUCGUACGGAAGGAAGGAGGGAGCCAAUAGAGGGAGACCACGUGGCGGGCGCACACUGUAAAGGCGAAAGAGCGGGAGUAGGUUAUAACUUAUAUAUAUAUAUGAGACCGGUAAAAUAAGAAAAUGGGAAUAAAAGGUAUUGGAGUGGGUGUGGUCACUACCGGUGAGGAGAACUUUUUGUCGCGUUCAUGAAGACAUUUUAUUUUAUUUUAUAGAUAAUUGGGUAAAAACUUAAAUUUGUUUUCUGUGGCCUUAGCAUGUUACCCUUUUAGUUGUAAUCAAAAGUUUUAAAAUAUUUGUAUUUAUUAUUAACUAUUGAGAGACUUUAUUUUUGUUUUUCAACCAUAACUAUUGGUUUAGAAGGACCAAAUUUCCAAUUGAGCUUAAUCAAUAACGGAAUGUUGCAUUGAACCGAGUCAUAUUCGAAGUGGUGGGAGGUUAGUUUGACCUAAUCACAAUUAACGAAAAAUCUAUGUGGAGUAUCUAAAGUUUUAUAUAUAUAUAUAUAUAUAUAUAUAUAUAAUUUAACGAAAUAUUAACGAAAAAGUUGACGAAAAAAAUAAAAAUAAAAUCAUAGAACACUAACUUCAUACACUUCAAACAACAAGGCACUAAAAUGAGAAAGUGCGAAACUACGGGGGUGUGUUUGAAGUUUACCCAAAAUUGGGUGCCGAGUCGCAAUUGCGGAGAGGUACAGGGGUGGGGUUCAGCAGCGACAAAGGUGAAGAGGAUUAAUUGGUUAGCGAUGGUUUUGUUUUUUAGUUCUUUAUUAAAGGAGAAAAUAAGUAGUGAUACUUUUAUUAAUGUUAAUGUUUAAUAAGAACAUAUAUGAAAUUUAUCUAUGGACCAUUGUUAAUUGGCUACUCAAAAUUUUUUAAAAUUUAAUUUUAUUAUCUAAUUAUUCAAUUUAUUUGAUUUGAAUCGGUCAACAAUACUUUAACUUCAAAAUAUAAUUAAUCUAAUUACUUACUUUAGUUAAUCUAUAAUUUUAAAAAUUACAUGAAAUAAUAUUAAAGAUCAUUAACAUAGUCAAAUUAUUUUAAAAUUAAAAUACGGUUAAUUAACUCAAAUCAAACAAAGUUUAAAUAUUAGAUAGUAAAAUUAAAGUUUUAAAAAUUAAAUAAUCAAAUUAAAAUAUUAUAAAAUUCAGAUAAAUUCUAUAAAUUUUUAUUUUAUUUUUUUUUUUAAAAGAGAGAAUUCUAAUUGUGGCUAGCAUUAUGGGUUUUAAUUUUAUUUUUAGGUUAAUGUUUAUUUUUUCAGUAUGAACGGUCUUAAUUUCUUUACCAACCAAUUAUAACCGGCAAUAGUAGGUAUUUUGUUUUUGGGUACCGGUUAGGUGAAAUAUAUAAAAGGUAGAAUUGACCUGAUGUAAAAGAAUAUAAAAAAAAAGUUAAAAAUUACUCCCUACACCGGGUGUACUAACAUAUCAGUACACUGCUCCUGUGUUAACUCUUCUUCCCAUCAUAUAUUUUGAUCCAAUCAUAAAAGUUUUUAAGGAUAAAUUAUACCUUUGGUCCUCAAAUUAUGUGAUGCAGGAUACUUUGGUAAUCAAUCUUUAAUCUAUUAUAAUUUUUAGCUCAAAAUUUUAAAUUAUUAUAAUUUAAUUUUAUAAUUUAAUUUAAUUGACUAGAAGAUGUGGACAAUUUAUUAAUGUAAAAAAUUAAGCUUUAUGGGUGAGUAACUGAAAGAAACUACUUUUUUCCAUUAUGAGUUUAUGACCAUCGGAUGAUUUAGUUACAUGAUAAUAAAGUAUGAACGCAAAUAUCUUGCUUUAAAUACUUAUGUUAUGUAAUUAUAUGUCAGCAUAAUGACUUUUUCUUUUAAUUAUUAUGGAUGAGAAUAUUUUUAGAAAAAAAACAAAAAAAAAAGAAGCAAAUGAGCAACAUUGCUUUUCAAAUUUUAAUAUUUUAUAGUUAAUAUUGCUUCCAAAAGUUUUGAGCUAAAAAUGGGAAUUAGAGUAAUGUCUAACUAGUGUAGUAACCGGACGUUGCGGCGGAUAGAUACUAUUAAAAUAAAUUUAAUAUUUAACUAAUAUAUUAAAAAUUUGUUAUUAUUUUAAAAAUCAAAAUAGUCCAAACAUAUUGGAUUCCUGCAAAAAUAUAUUAAUUUGCUGAAGCCGAUUAAUAACAAAAUGCUCAAGAUAAUAAGCAUGUCAACCUAUUAAGCCGAAAAGCGACAAACUAUGUAGGAGAGAUUUAAAUAAAAAAUUCAAUAAAAAGUAGUAUUUUAUAAAUCAAAUCAAAACAAUUAAAGGGUAAAAUUUUUUUUGUGUAAGUUAUAUAUUUAUCCCUUCAUUUUCUAUAUAAGUUAUGAUACUUCAAGAAAAUAAAAAAAUUUUUAGAUCAUAUAUCAAUCUAAUUUUGUAAAUAUUCUUAUAUUAGUUAAUAAAAAGAAUCAUGGAAGUAGAAAAAAAGUAAACAUAUUAAAAGUUAUAUAAUAAAUAUUUAAGAGACAAAAAAAAUAUACAACCUAAUGCAAUCUAAUACAGCAAAUAUAAUACAGAAUUUUACUUUCGAAAAAAAAUAUAAAAAACAAAGGAUAGAAAAAGAAAAAGUAAUAAACAUUCAACACAACAAACACAUUAGUUCGAAUACCAUACAAAUAAAAAGAACUUGAAAAAACUUAAUAAAACUAUCUAAAAAAUUUCAACGCUACAACAUAAAGAAUAUAUAUAUACAUAUAUAUAUAUCUUUUAAAAGAACUUAUAAAAUUUGGAGGAAGGCUCGAUUUGGUGAAGAUGCAGCGCCAAGCUCGGCGAUACAGCGUGCAAACUCAUACUUCGUCUAUAGAACGUGCUCGAUUUUGGCCUCGGAGCUCAUGGAGGAGAAAGAGAAAGUAGGAAGGAGAGAAGGGAGCUUUUUGUGGAUUUUUAUGAUUUACAGUUUAGAUUAGGGUUAAGAUGAGUGGACCAUUAAUUAAACGUUAUGUGUGGAGGAAAUGCAAAAAGUUAGAUUAAGGUGGGUGGACCAUUAAUUAAACGCUAUGGAUGGAGGGAAUGAGAAGGGAAUGAGAAAGGUUGGGUUAAGGUGGGUGAACUAUUAAUUAGACGUAAUGGAUGGAGGGAAUAAGAAAGGUUGGGUUAAGAUGGGUGAACCAUUAAUUAGACGUUAUGGAUGAAGGGAAGGCGAAGGAUUGGCUUCGUAAUAUGAAGUCUAAAAGUAAAGAAAACACAGCCAUGUGGCACUUCUUGUAUAGGUAUAGAGGUAUAGAUAGAUAUAGAUAUAGAUGUUUGGUUGGAUAAUAUUUCAUUUCAAAUUUUAUGCGAGGUAAAAUGAGAAUCUUCUAAUUUCCCCACUUCAAGCCCAACAACAUGGAGGGAAACUUUAUUCUCCAGGAUAGAAUGAACAAUUUUACAGUCAAAUCCUAUUACUGCAGGAACCAAAUAAAUUGGGAGAAUCAUACCGCUCCCACUACAAUUGUAAGCCAUCUUGAAUUCAAUUCCAAUUUAGAUUCCUCCAAAAAUCAUCAUGGAAAAUUACUUUUCGGGGACAACAAAGUUUUCCAUCGAAAAGAGAUUUUUCAUAAUUUUUAUUUUCUAGAUUAAAAAAUCUGGAAAAUAAAAAGAUGAUUUUUGCAUUAUUCCUAUAACAACUAAGUCCACUAAUACUAGUAUUGAGCUCAAAGUACCAGCACAAAAUGCCUUUAGUUCCAUUAUUACUAAUAGAAGUCUAAGGAGUACUAGGGCAUCACAAAUCUGGAAAUAACAUUUUCAGAAAAAACUACUUUGCUAAAAAAACUAAGGGCUAAGCAAAAAAUAUUUAUGAAUAUUUUCUGAUAAAAAAAACAGCCCCUAAGCAAAUCAAACAUGGCUAUAAAUUUCAUUGCAAGAAUAGCAUUCUGCUACAACAAAAACAGAAACCUCAUUUUGGAGCAUCUGUUACACAAUAUCAGAAGCUUGUUUCUGCUUGCUGUCAUAAUAGAAGCUCCUGAUUUUGCAAAAAUUGAUGAUAUCUAAGAUAAAAGCAAAAAACAAAAUCAUCCUUGCAUGAGCAAUACUGCCUGUACAUCCAUAGACUAGAUAAAAAUCUAAUAUCUUACUCAUCCAAAGGCCACUGUUUACCUAAUAAUUUUAUCAACUUCAAUUUUUUAAUACUAAGAAGCUAAAAGGAUUUCAUGAAUCCUAGGAUAAGCAAGGCGUAAGAUUUAAACCUAUAUACAAAUGUAUCUGUGUUUGGUCAUACUUGCUAAAUAAAUUAAUUAAUUAAUUAUAAAAGAAUAACUUUGUCAAUAUUGCGGGCAUGUUUUCACUCUUUCUGGAUAUGUAAUGCUCGCUCAAUCUUAGUUGAUGAUCCUUUUAAGACAAAGGAUGUGAUUAAGUAGUCUUGCCAGCAGAGCUAAGGGACUGUUUGGUUCGUUGUAAAACUAUGGAAAAAAAAUUUUCGGUGGAAAAAAAGUUUUCGGAGGAAAAUAAAUUUUACACUCUAAGUGUUUGGUUUGUAGGAAAAAAAAGUAGUUUUCCGUUACGGUUGUUUGGUUGAAAGGAAAAGAAAGAAAAAGAAGAAAAAAGUUAGUUACAAAUAAAAAAAUUAUUAUAUAUAUAUUUUUAUUUUAAUAUAUUAUUAAUAUAUAAUAAUUAUCAUAUUACAUAUAUUAAUAUUAUAAUUUAUAUUUGUAAAUAAAAUAUAUUUAAAAUAUAUUAUAUAAUAAUUUUUUUUUAUAAAAAAUAAUAUAUAUAUNAUAUUAUAAUUUAUGUUUGUAAAUUAAAUAUAUUUAAAAUAUAUUAUAUAAUAAGCAUAAUAUAUAAUAUAAUAGUAUAUAUAUAUAUAUAUAUAUAUAUAUAUAUAUAUAUAUAUAUAUAUAUAAAAGAGGGGCAGAGAGAGAGGUCCAUCACCUCACGCGCGGUCCACCUCGACCUCGUCGACCUCGCUUUUUUUCUCCCGCGAGGCAUGCGCAACUCUGCACGAGGUCCAUCAUGGACCUUUCUCACGCGGUCCACGAGGUGGAGUGGACCUCGUGGACCGCGCCUUUUUUUUCCCGCGAAGCGCGCGCAAAGCCGCGCACAAGGUCCAUCAUGGACCUUCCUCAUCGUUCCCCCAGGCGGCGUGCGCAACGCCGCAUUGUAAAAAAAAUUUUCCGGAAAAUUUUUUUUUCGAGACACCGAACACUGGAAUCCCAUUUUUCAGCCGAAAAAAAAUUUUUAGAGUGAUUUUACGAGGAACCAAACACAUCCUAAUCAGUAUGUUGCAAUUAGGAAAAAUGACUUCCAGCACAGUAAGAUUCUUAGCAACCUAUUCCACUGUAAUCUAGUAAUAAGUGCUACACAUAUUAAUAUACUUUUUUAAUUAUUUCUAACAAAUCAGAGAUACAAAUUUCGAGUCAGAAUUUUAUUUCUAUCUAUCACCGCGCUAUACCAAACGCUGUAGUAAAAGCUUCAGGUUUUUUAUGCUCCCUCACUUGUUUGAUAGAUUUUGUUGUUGAAAUCGAGCCCAAGUAGAUCCAAGAUGUAUAACAUUAGAAGGUGAUAAUAGUUCCAUUUAGAAUAACAAUUUAUAGACUUAAAAAAUUUUAUGUUCAAUAUGUUUCGAUAAACAUAUUACAUCCAUGAGCUUACAUGGGUUUGAGUCACACCAAAACAUCGCUUCAAGACCAAUAUAUGACAUUCAUAAGCUCGCGCGGGUUUGAGUUGUGCCAAAACAUUGCCCCAAUACUAAUAUGGGUUUGAAUCUGACGAAAACUCUUCCUCCAAUUAGUAUUGGAGCUGUGUUUUAAAUAUUUAUAUUCAAGAGAAAUUAAUACCGAACUUGUUCUCUCCAAUUUUACCUUAUAUAAUCACAAGUUAACAAUCCACGGCAAAAUAGAACUCAGAGCAACAUUACAUAUGCACGUAGCUAAUUAAUCAAUUCCAAGAUCAGUAAACAACAACAACAACAACAACAACAACAACAACAAUCGAGAGUAGCCAAUUCAAAUAGCUACAUAUAUACUCAAAAAUUAUUAUUAUUCGAAUGAAAUGCGGAGCAACAUGAUACACAUAGCAGGAAAACUAAUCGAUCUACAUUACUGACCAUGCUAAUGCUACAGGGCAAAGAACAACUCGAUCAUCCCCGAAAAAGGAUCGAACAAAUUAGGGUUGGUUUCAAACUGAGGAGAGGGGGAUUAGGGUUUCGUACCCAUGUCAGUCGUUGGCGGUGGCGAGCUGGAGCGAGAGGAGCUCGUCCUCGGGGAUGGUGCGGAUGCGGCAAUCGGAGCGGGGGUAGGAGGCGCAGAGGAGGGCGUAGCCGCGGGCGACGACGUCGUCGGAGAGCAUGCCCUCGCUCUGGUCGACGGCGCCGGCGAGGAGGCGCGCGGGGCACGUCAUGCACACGCCGAGCUUGCAGUCGUGGGGCACGGAGAGGCCCUCCUCGAGCGCCCACUCCAGGAUCGUCUCGUCCGGGGCCACGUCUAGUGUUUGGACCGAGCCCUCGUGCUCGAUCGUGACCUUGUAGGAGGAUGAGGAGGAGGAGAGGGGAGGGGCGAGGGUGCGGCGAUGGAGGCGGAGGAGGGUGAGGGGGCGAUGGAAGGGGCGGCGGUGGUGGUGGAGGAGGAGAUGGGUGGGGGAGGAGAAGGGGAGGAGGAGGGAGGAGGAGGACAUUGGAGGGUUUGUGGUUGGGUUUUGAGAGUGGAGUAGGAGAAAGGAAACGAAGAUGAGAGGAGAUGGAUAAGGUGGGUUUUUCUUUUUCUUUAAAAAGAUUAUGAAUAAAAAAAUAUGUGAGUAUAAGUUAAAUUAUAGACCACGAAUAUCCGUAUAUAUUUUUUAAUUUAAAAAUANCUUGUACUCUCCCUAUGACCAAUAUUACAAUAAAGAAUUUAAAUUCUCUCUUAAAUACAUUUUAUAUGACAAAUUAGGCCUCGAAACUUUCACGCUAAGUUUCAAUUGAGUCCUUAACCUUCUAACUAUCGUAACUACGCCCUCAGCCUUUUACCCAAAAUUUUAAUUUAGUUUUUAACCUUCUAAAUGUUGUAGUUUAGGCCCAUAACCUCUUUGAAUAAUAUUAAUUUGGUCCUUUCCAUCAUAUUCUUCAUCAUAAUCUUCAUUAAGGUGGAUGAAACAUGCCGCUUCGGCAAUAAUGUAGUACAAUAAAUUUUAAAUACUAAUAUCUUACAAAUUCAAAUAAUAAAUCUUAUGUAUUAAAAGGUGAAAAGGCCACUUAGCAAAUUCAGUUUAAUAUAGCAAAGUUUUUGAUAAAAAAAAUCUGAUUGAGCUGACUAUAAAAUAUUGCAAACACAAUUAGAACUUGGAUAGAAGAUUAAGAAUCUGAUUGUAAUAAUUAAAAAGUCUUCAGUAGAAACUUGAAUAAGAAGUUACAACCUUCCGCAUAAUUUAUUUCUAUAUUUUAUACAGAUUAUGCUCUACUAGUGUAAUUCUAAAAAAAUUUUAUAAUGUUAUUGGUUUGAAACAAACUUGAUCGGUCCAAAUGAUAUAAUGAAAUGCUUUCCUUACAUCACAGUGUGAUUUAUAAAAUCAUUUUAUUACUUACAGAACCAAACAAAAAUAUUUGUUGAUUACAUUUGCUCUAUGCACGGUCUCCCAAAUUGAACUUCAAUCCUUGAGCUUUCUAAUAUUUUGCAAUUGCAACUCAGUUUAAAAUUUAAAAUUUUAAUUUUUAUAAAUCUUUCAGUUCAAUGUUUAUCUUAAAUCUUAAAUGAUAAACAAUUGCCUGCCCCAUUUGUGUCCUACAAAUCAAAUAGCCUUUUAUUCAUUCAAUACUUUUAAUUAAUUGAUACUCCACAAACGCCCUCCCACACCCCUUUUGGUUAGUGUAUUUUCAAUACUUCACAUUAUUGUUCAGAUGAUUAUACUUGACUAUUUUUUUUUAUUGGGUUGUAAGGAUCUACGUUAAAUAUAAUAGUAAAGUGACAUUUUAUUUAAGCUCUAAUUGUAUAUCAUUAGAUGAAUCAACUAAGAUUCGAACUUGGGAACCUCAGAUACCAACCAUUAAGCCCUUUGCCACUUGCGCUAGAAACGGUCGGUAUCAUAAGUUCUUUAAAAAAUAUUAUUUGCUAUCUUGCUUGAUGAUAGAUACUGAAAUUAAAUUGUAGAGUAUAAAUAUAACAUUUUAAUGUAUGGUGUUUACGAGAGAUAACUUGCUGAAAAGGGACCGGCACGGGAAGGAUGAAUGUGUUUUCUGUAGGGCGGAGCUAGAGUCCGUAGAUCACCUCUUUGUGGGAUGUAAUACAGCCAAACUUUUGCAAGAGGGUCAACUACCGGACAGGAGGUUUAUACACAAUUGCUCUUCGGUGAAUAGGCUUUGGAAUGUAAGCAGCUCCAAAGGUGGGGCCUUAGGGGGUAGAGAGUUAGCUACAAUUGCCUCGGCCUGGUGGUCUACUUGGUUGGAGCGUAACAGAAGAAUCUUCGAAAAGAAAAAGAUCAUCUUGAGUCAGCUUGUAGCAAACUUACGCUCACUUCGUGUCCUUUGGGACUCUUUCUGCCCGUAGCUCUACUUUUUUUUUUUUUUACUAUUUUUUUCUCUCACUUUGACGAGGCCUGAUUGCCUCAUUUUGUAGCUUAGCUCAUAUUCCAAAUGAAUGAAGUGGUAGCUAACUAUCCAUUUUUCAAAAAUUUUUUUUUUUUAAACUAUAAGGCAGUAGUGAAAAUAUGCUAAAACAUGUAUGGCCAAAUUGAAGAGUUUCUUUUUUAACAGUAAAUAAAGAAGUGUUAAAGUAUUUUUUUUUAAAAAAAAAUUAACCUAUUUAUUUUUAAUGUUAAAUUAAAUUUAAAUAUUCGGGAACCUCAAAUAGCGACUCACAGUCACAGACCGACCCGAAAAAUAAGGCCCUGUUCGGGUCCAGGUCAAUCCACCCGCUAACGCUCUCCCCUUACAUACCCCCCCCCCCCCCCCCCUUCUUCAUCCAUCUCCACGACCGGAAGUCCCGUUAUUAUUACUGCUCCACCUCUCGCGAUCUCGUAAUGUCACUUCCCUCUUCCUCUUCCCUCAGAAACCCUUUCCCCUCCUCCUAGUUCGAGCUCUAACAAACCCUAAUCCUCCUCGUAAACCCUCGAUCUCUCACUCUCCUCUCGCUCGGAUCGGAGGAGCCGAAACCCUCGUCGGAGCGAGGAUGGCGUUCAUGCCGGUGCUCGAAGCCGAUCUCCGCGCCCUCUCCGCCGAGGCGCGCCGCAGGUACCCCGCGGUGAAGGACGCCGCGGAGCACGCGAUCUUGAAGGUGAUUGAUCCCUUUCCUUCACUCGGAUCUCCACUCUGAUCUGUUUCUUUCUUGCUUCCUUCCUUGGUAGAUUCGUCCGAAUUCGAUGCGAUUGGUAUAAUUUUGCAUGGUCAUGUCGAAUCUUGCUUUUCUUGAUCCGUUUUGGUUGUGAAUUGUGGUGGGGUAAAAUGUUGCAAGAUCCGCAGUAAACUUAUUUGCUUAGUUAUUUCGGACAAGCAAGAGAUCUUCUUGAAAUUUGAUAGUUUCCACUAUAAGACAGAGCGCCUGUUUUGGAUGCGUGAACAUCUUUUGUGUACUAAAGAGCAUGCAGUAAUCGAUAGAUUGGAAGCAUGAUUAGAUGUUUACAAGCUCUUUACAUCAUUUUCUUGCAAUAAGAUCGCCUUGUAGAUGGCAUUAUCCUAGAAAGGUCAUGAAAUGCCAGAACCUUGCAAUGGACCAAAAGCAAACUUGCAGGCACAAUGACACAAGAGAGUCUCCAUGAAGCACGAGUUAUCACCAAAUAACUUGUUCGAACAUCCUAACAGACGCUAAUCGAUUUUGUUGGUAGAGUAGGAGCCUUUUUCUUUCAGUAUAUAAUCAACUGGAAUUGCUGGCUAAACAUAGUGAUGGUGGUUAGCUUGCCAAAUAUCGAGACUGCUAUUUCUGUCUCUUAUAAGUUAUCACUAAAAAGUGUAAACUGAUACCAUAAAUAUCUCAUAGUUUGAAAUGGGCACCUGAAGUUUGGAAAUUUUUUAUUUUACUAUUCAACCUUACAGGUUUUCUAGAUUUCAAGUAGGAUAUUUCAUCAAGUAACAAAAUUCUUCCAAAUAAGUUGAGAGCACUAUUAAGUUUUGAUGGAGACGUAUUUAAUCGAAAUCACUCUUAAGGAUAGGUAGUUAAGUCAAAAUAUCUCAAGUCCAGGUACUUAUCUCAAAAUGUGGUAUAGUUCAGGUAAGGUCUAUAAAUUUUUGCUUUUUCUCCCCACCAUUAUGAAAUUAAGAAUAAAUACUUGUAUUUUUGAUAUAAGAAUGUUCUCUUCUCUCUAGUUACGUUCUUUGUCCAGCCCGAGCGAAAUUGCGCAAAAUGAAGAUAUAGUGCGGAUAUUUCUGAUGGCCUGUGAUGUUAAAUCAGUAAAACUGAGUGUCAUUGGGCUCUCUUGCUUGCAAAAGCUCAUAUCACAUGAUGCGGUGGCAUUGUCAGCUCUGACAGAGAUACUUUCCACGUUGAAAGACGUAAGUUUCUCAUCACAUCUGCAUCCAAUAUGUAGCUAGAUAAAGAAACAAUUAUGAAUUAUAAAAUUUGAUUUGUAAUGCUAGUAUCUCAUACUUCCAUUUCAACAGCUGUUUGUCUAAAAUUUUUGAACUUUAUAUUGAUCUUUCACAUGAGGAGAAAACAUUUAAUCUACAGCUGCCAUGUAAUUUUACAAUACUAUUUUCAUUGUAAUUAGAAUACAUAAUCUUUAACUUAUAAUUGUAAUUUUAUUUAGCAUGCAGAGAUGGCUGAUGAGAGUGUUCAACUCAAAACCUUGCAAACUAUACUGAUCAUAUUUCAAUCCCAUUUACAUCCAGAAAACGAGGUAAUAGACUACGUUUUUGCACGUUGUUGUCAAGGGACGACUUUAAUAUUCUUAUGCUCAGUUGGUUCUAUUUUUGAGUCCUUUUACCCAAAUUGCAUGGUCACACAAACAACAAAUAUAAGCCUUCAGCCUGACUAUUGGAUUCCUAUCAGGAACUAAAAUUUUAGAAUGAACUUCUUGGGGUUGCCAAAUAAUAGAUUAAAACAUUAUGAUGUUACAUGUCUAUCUAAUGGUUGUAGGUGCUAAAAUACUGUUGUAUUUGGUUUGCAAAUUAAAAGAUUAGAUUCUUCUAUUAAUUUGUGCUCAAAAGUUCAAUUUGGGAACGGCCCAAAUGGUUGAGCUGGACAAAUGGGACCUUCUCACUUUGGUUACUGUAGGUUUUGGGUCGGUGUUUGUUUUGGUUUAGACGAUGGAAGUCAAUUUUUCUUGUUCAGUCUGAUUUUCUCCCAGAAACUGAUCAAAUGGACUUAGUGCACAAGAUAGAUGGCAAUUAGCUAUUUGGAUUGUUGAUUUAGAUGCACUAUAACAUGUUAUUCCAAGGUAACAUCAUGGUCAUCUCCUUCUUAUUACACUGUUGUCUUUUUUGGUGUCAAAUGUGUAAGUAUCAUCUGUAGUUCCUGCAGCAGUGAGUACUAUUAUUGAUACUCACCUACUAGAGAUGGCUUUCAGAAGGGUAUUCUUCUGGGCUUCGAAUGAAAGCUCUCAUAGUGUACCACAAAGUAAAUUGACAAUUGAGUUGUUAGUGUUAUUUGGUAUUUACAUGUUUUCUAUUGUUUCAACCUUGCAAAUCUUGGGUUUUUGCAACUAUUUUGUCGAAGAUUUCAAAUCCUGGUCUGAGUAAAUUAAUAAUUUUUGCAAAUUGCACAGUUUACUAAUUUUUCAGGUAUUUGUUUUCUUAUUUGUGCGGACCAUAAAGUAUAGCUACAUAUAUAGAAAAAAAAUCAUUUCUUGAAGCUUAACAGGAUACAAAAAUCGAGUGGAUUUCUGUUGCCGCUUUCAAUAUUCUUUUCUACAGCUUCUAUUUCUUGCUAGUAGGUGAACUAUUUGCAUUUCAAAUGACGAAUUAAUCAGUACAAAUCUUGUAUAAGGAAAUACACCAUUGACAUCACCCACGAGUUAUGACCUAGCUAUUAAAUAUUAUUUUCUUUCUAAAAGAAAAGAAAACUGCUUUAAACAGCUUUUGCUACUUGUUCCUAGCAAACCGUUAUAUCACUUUCCUCACACAGACCGCAGGGUGUGAACGGUGAGUAGUGGGCCAAAACGGACUAGUAGCAUAUCCACAAUAAACAAGAACAUUCCAAUGAACAAUUACGAGGAUAAGAAACAAACUAGAUAGAAGAAAUGGAAGAAAGGGAUAGGAGACCUGGAUGAAAUGAGAGUGGAUAGAGAAGAGGGAAGGAAGAAGAUUCUGAUGAAAUAUGACUAACAUAUUCCACCAAGAUUAUAUCGGAAUCACUUACUGCUCCAGAAAUGAUUCCCAUGGAAGAAUUGCUGCCUGCUUCUACUUUUGCGGCUUGUUUUCAUUGCAUGGGAAUCUGUAGCAGAUUCUCCAUGCACAUUCCCAAUGUGCUAGUUGCUUCUUGCACCACCAAAGACGAUAUUGCACACAUCUGAAGUGUGGUCAAACAGGUCGUAGGAACAAAACACUUCUUUCUAUUAAAAAUUCAUUAAAAUUGAUGGCUUAUCCUUGCAAGAGGAAAAGGUAAUUAUUUUCAAUUUCAUAUUUAUCCAUAUUUUUUCAACAAUUUUUUUUUCAUAUUUAUCUGCUAAAAUUCAUCAGUCUAAAUUUGCUUGAGGCUUACAACUCUUACAGUCUUACCUUGUCUGGUAAGAUCAAAGACUUACAGUCUUACCUUCUUACCUUUGGUUUGGUUGAAAUUAGACUAACAAAGACUUGAUUCUAAUUCAAUGAGACCCUAGUCAUUGAAUAGUAGUUCAACUUAUUCGUAAAAAACGCAAUCGAACUAAUGCUUCUCUCUAUAACAGGAGAACAUGGCACAAGCUCUGGGUAUCUGUCUUCAUUUACUUGAGAGUAAUAGAUCUUUGGACAGUGUUCGCAGGUAAGUGUUUUGAAAUGUUAUAGGCAAUUCUCUGAACUGGAGAUGUCUUUUAUUUGCCAUUCUUCUAAGCAGUACAUUCUUUGCUAUAGCACUGCUGCAGCUACUUUCAGGCAGGCAGUUGCUUUGGUUUUUGACAACGUUGUUCGCUCUGAAUCACUCCCUCCUGGCAAAAUUGGUUCAUCAAGUCUCAUCUCUCGUAGCUCUGUCACUGACAUCGUUUCCCGUAGUUUCAGUCAGUCAGUGUAAUUUUCUUGCUGAACAAUUUUUCCUGCUCCUAUAAAUCAUCUCUAUGUUUUUUAUAUGUUCUGUAGACUCUAGUUUUUCUUUCGUUUUGCCGUUAUAAAUAUCAGAUGAUUUCACUUAGCAUUGAGUCAUCUUAUAUUGCCUAUGACAGGUCACUGGAGAGUAACUCAAUCUCGGGGCCGCCGCAGUUGCGGGAAGGUCUUAGCAAACCAGGAAAGCUUGGGCUCCGUCUACUGGAAGACCUGACAGCACUUGCUGCAGGUGGAUCCGUAUGUGCGAAUGAGAACCCAUGACAUAUACUAUCGAAACUUUAACAUUCCCUUCAUGAUCACAUUAUGGAAUAGUUUUAUCAUCACCCACAACGUUAAUAACGCUGGAUUUGCAUUAGACAAGCUAGCUCUUUUUUUUUUUAAUAUUUUUUUAUUUUUCCUGUUGAAAAAUAGAUAAAACAUGAUAUAUCAAUAUUUUUAUAAUCAUAUUCCUUUUAACCCAGGCUACCUGGCUGCGACUUCAUUCGCUCCAAAGGACAUUUGCUCUUGAUAUACUUGAGUAAGUACUCUAUUGUAUGAUAACAUAUUAAUACAUAUUAAUUAUAGUUCAAGAUUCGGAUUAGUUUAUUUACAAGGUUGUUGUCUCUGUGGUGGUUAACCAUAGUACCUAGCUAUCAUCUUAUGUGUCAUGAUGGAGACCAACGUGAAUUCAUGGCAUUUUUGGGUCAUUGGUGCCAAACUCCAACUUUAUAAAUGGUAAAAUGCAUGAUUUGAUAGCUUUUAAAGAUGUGACAUGCAGUAAAUUUAUCAUCGUUUAUUGCUAGUAUUAGUUGUUUUGGUUUAAUAGCCCAUUAGGAAUGUUAUUUGAUUUAAUUUGGUUUUUCAAACGAUGUUUCGUUUCCAUUUUGUCAACUGUAACCCUAGAUUGAAAAAUGAACUUGGUACUUUGUUAACUGUCUGACGUUCAAACUUCAUCAAAAAGGUAUUUGGUACUUUUGUUAACUGUCCGACGUUCAAACUUCAUCAAAAAGGUAUGCAUACUUUAGGCAUUAAUUACGUUUAAUUAAGAGGACGAUAAGACGAGCCAUCCUGAGUUUUCUUCAAUGAUUUCUUUUGUGUAUUGGGAGGGUGCCAGAUCUUAAGAGCCAAUUCAGGGUUUUUAUCUUUGAAAACCACAACUAGUCCUUGAAAACCUGACACCCUAUUUCGUCUGUGCCCACUGCUAUAGUGAUAUGUCUUAAUGCUGGUCAAUCUUCUGUUUUCUGCACCUGCAAACUCUACCUUAUUGACGCCCUUUUAACCCUUUAUUCUGAUAUUAACUCUAUUGCUUUGUCACGUCAUAUUUUAGUUUGAUUCUCAAAACAUAUUUAUCACAUGUUUUUGGUCAUCUUUUUAACUUCAUUUCAGUAUAAUUCUUUUCCAUUAGGUAUAUUUUUUUGUUCUAUAUACUAUUUGGCUGGUCAUUAGAACUGAUCUUUUUCUGUUAUUAACUCAAAAAAUUGAAUGUGAAUGACUAGUUAAUGGCUGUAAAAGUAUGUUUUAGUUCUGCGAUGCUUUAGUAUAAAUUUUCGCUUUGAUCUACAUUGUAGCAAGUGGUGAUUUGUACUCGGUACAGGUUCAUUUUGUCCAAUUAUGUUGCAGUCUUCCGAACCUUGUUGUCCUAUGAACAGGUAUUUCUUGCCCAUUUGAUAUGGAUACAAUUGGUGAUGCUUGUUCUAGUAUGUUGUUGUCAUGUAGCACUUCAAAUUUGCAGGUCUUGCGCCACCAAAUAUGUUCGCUUCUUAUGACCUCACUUCGGACUAAUGUGGAGGUAAUUGCUACUAAAGUACACAGUUGAGAAAAAUGUCAAUUGCUGGCAUCUACUAUGCACUUGUGUCAAAUAUUUUAUGUAUCGAAGGGGCUUAUACAGAUGUAUCCUGCAAAAUUAUCUAUUUGCUUAUACAUCCUGGUAAAAUGUGAAUUUUCAUCUAUACAUCUUGCUAGUGCAAUUUCUUGCAAAAAUACCCUUAUCUUAAGUUGGAGAAUUAUCAAAUUCAUGGGGUGAAGUUGGUUUUGUAUACAAAAAACUUUUAAAGAUGGUUAUUUUGUAAUUACAAGGGUAUAUGUGUGAGAAUUUGAGUUUUUGAAGGAUGCAUUUGAAAAUUCAGAUUUUGCUGGGAUGUGUGCCUGCAUGUGUGUGUUCAAGUCGACAGAGAGGUGUGGGUGUCGAGGUUGAGUGGGUGGCGUGGGAAUGAGUGUGGGAGUGUGGUUGUGGUGUGGAUAUAUGUGCGCAAGUGCACUUGUGUGCUUGGGCACGUAUAGAUAUGUAGUCUUACAGGGAUGUAUGUUGGUAACUCUAUAUCUUAUCUUCUGUUUGAUUUUUAAGCUUGAUGGUGAAGCUGGGGAGCCAACCUUCCGCCGGUUGGUCCUUCGUUCAGUUGCUCAUGUCAUCAGGCUUUACAGCGCAUCCCUUGUUACUGAAAGUGAGGUAUUGUUUUGUCUCCGAAAUCUCUUCUAUAUAAGUGUACGUAGCUUGUUCUUAUUGUCCAUGUAUUACUUUUUGCAAAAUAUUGGUUUAUUUAUACCAUUGUCACCUUGGUUGCACAGACACUGCUCUAAGGGAGCCACGUCUGCAUCUAACCCAUUUAUUAAUGCCAUUUUCUCUUUCGUUAUACGGACACAGUUUCAAGGGAGCUGUGUCUGCGUCUGACUUGCGUCGGAAGCAGAAUGCGUAGCGGACGCGCGACGACGCAUGUCCUCUGCGCGUCCAGGAUUUAAAAAAAAGGAGAUGCGAAGAGGACUCACGUGCAUCACGUGAGCUCUCUCUGCGUGGGAAGAGUUCCAUCCAUCUUAAUAAUGGGCAAUAUUUUUGCCCCACAAUCAAUAUUUCAUUAAUGCUUUAAAAUUAAGAUCUAAUUGAACAUAUAUAUGAUCUAUAGUAUUUAAAGAUAUAUGUAUAAAAAUAAUAAUUUUGGAAAAUCUAACACUUAGAUAUUAAAUGGUUUUAAGAAUCAACAGUAUUAGAAGGACUGUUGUUCAAUUUAUAAGAAAUUUAUAUUCAAAACCUUAUAAUUUUUCUAUAUAAUACCUAUUUUAAUGUCAUAUUAUACAUCUAAUAAAUUAAGUUCAAAAUUUUGUUGUGCUGUCUGUGGUGAACGAGAUCUCCUUAAGAAUCUGGUACAGGUAAUGUAACUCUGAUUUAUGCACCAACUUUGUAGGGCAUAUAAUUAGAAUAUAUUUACUGAUUUUAAUAUAUUAUAAUAUUUUGUACAUAAUUAAAAAUACAUUUUCCUGUCGGCAUUCGUGUGUCCAUGUUGUAAUUUUUUGGAAGUUGUCAAUUCACCACGUCUGUGUUGUGUCAUGUCCCGUGCCCCGUGUCCGUAUACGUGUAACAUAGAUUGUCAGUUUGUCACACUUUUGUUAUGCAUUAUUGCAACUUGUGGGGAUCGUAUUCAUCUAAAUAUCCUUUGGAGGUUCAGAUAGAAAUAUGUUUCUUGUGCAUCCUGUACUAGAAGAAAAUUAUCAAGCUUUUUUUGUUGGUUGAGAGUCUUUACUCUUUUAUCAUUAAUUGGGUAAAUUGCACUGAAUGUCUAUGAACUUCAACUCAAGAUUCAUUUUGGUCCUUGAACUUUCAAUUUCUAAAUUUGAGACCCUAAACUUUCAACAACAUAUCAAUCUAGUCCUUGAACUUUCAACAUUGUUUCAUUUUAGCCCUUACCAUAUGAUUCCGAAUUCUGUGACAAUGCUGGCAAAUUAUUGGUUGCAGCUAGUCAGUCCAUCUCAAUGGUUAGUAAGGUUGAAAUAUGAGAAAAAAUAAAUGGCCAAUAAAUGCAUGGUACAUAAAUGUACAAAUCUAGGCAAUAUUUUGCCCCCUAAUAGUAAAUAUGAAUAAGGACAACUGAAAUUUUUAUGCGAGUUUAGGGUCUCUAAUGCUGAACUUAUAAGUUUGAGGACCAAAAUGAGACCCGUCUGAGAGUCCAGGGACCAGUGCUGCAAUUUACCCAUAUUAGUUGGUAGCGAUCCAGUGUUUCAAAAAGCUCGAGGCGUAACAAGGCGCAAAGGCCUUAUGUAAUCUAGGCGCGGGUGCACCACAAGGCGCGUGCCUCAAGAAGGUGAGGCGCAUAUUUAAUAAACUUAAAACAUUGUUAACUAGCCUAGUUAAAUUGAUGUUCUACAUAAAAAAGAUUCAGACACAACCAUACAAAAGCAAAAUAACUAUGGAAAAGCAAAUCACAUGCAUAAAUGUUCUCUAAGAGUCCAAAAAGGAAAUUAAGAAAAGAAUCAAACAAAGAACACAAAAAAUGAAUCACAUGUGCAAUUGAAAGAAAGAAAGAGAAGAAUUGUUGCCCACCAUUUCAAUGAAAUAUGAAGAAGUAAAAAAGAAAAAACCUCACCAAAACAUCAAAUCACAUCAAAAGAACUUUAGAGAAUUGGAGUAUAGAGAGUUAAAGACCACACCAAAACUGCUGCUGCUUGCUAUUGCCGCUGCCGCCUACUGCUGCUGCUUUGUUGCUAUUGGAGAGAGAGAGAGAGAGAGAGAGAGAGAGAGAGGGGUUCUCAUUAGGGUUUUCUAAAUCCCUUUAUGGGUUAGAAUAUAUUGAUAAAAUUUGAGACCCAAGAACCCGAGCCUGAGACCUUUUUAACUUUAAACAUCACGAGGCACGCGCCGCAGGUUCUCCAAGGCACGCGUCUUAGGUGUGCACCUUAGGCGCGCUUUUUCAAACACUGCAGAGAUCCUAAUUCUGCAUCCCUCUUGACAAGUAGGACCAUUGUGCAUGCUGUAGUUUAUUUUCUUUCCUGGUAUGCCAAGAUGCUUAGUGUCUAUUUAGCCUGCCUUCAGAAAGAGCCUUUUUACUCCUGGAAGCAAUAGAUAGUCGUUUGGCAAAUAAAUAGUCUGGCGCUUUUGCUGCUGUGAGAAUUUGAAAUGAGUUAAGGAAAAGCUCCGAGUUGAAGCUUUUUCCUUCUGUUGAAACUGAAAUCUUUUUGGGGUAUUUUAGGUAUCUAUCAGUUUUUCUUCAAACAGCUCUAAUCAAGCCUUAUUGAGCUAGAGGCUGAAUUAUGCCCAAAAGUCUACCUUCUGACUCAAUCCUCUAUUUUGGUUUGCUUGGACCAUUUACGUAUUUGUUGUAGCUACAGGCUUCUACUUAUAAGGACUAUUUUGAUGGCAGGUCUUUCUUAACGUGUUGGUGAAAGUUACUCGUCUUGAUUUGCCGCUAUGGCAUCGUAUACUUGUUCUUGAAAUUUUGAGGGUGAGUUUCAUCUACUUCGGUAUAACUCCUGCUGGUGACUGGUGCCAAGUGAAUCUCGUGUUUUUUUUUUAAUUUUUUUAUCAGGGCUUUUGUGUAGAAGCGCGUACACUGCGCCUCCUUUUCCAGACUUUUGACAUGUAAGUUUCUUAUAAUUGUGUGGACUCUUCACUAAUCACUCAUGCUUCACCCUACAAUACUUUGUACUCUUUUGGUGUUCUAUUUUAUUUUAUACUUUUAAUGUGCUGGUUAAAAUCAAUUGUUAUUUUAUACUUUCAGGGACCCAAAAAACACUAAUGUUGUAGAGAAUAUAGUCAGAGCACUUGCUCGUGUGGUUUCUACUAUUCAGCUGGUAUUGGUUUUCUUUCUUCACUUUUAGUAGCCACAAGCACUUAAUGCUGGAUUACCCAUGUGAAUCAUAUGGAAUGUUCUUGUUUAUUUUACCUGCAGUAUGAGAUUGCAUUUGCUCAGUCUUGAAUACUGUCCUCCAUGUUUAAUCGAUUGGUGCUGCUAAUGAGGGAAACUUUGCAAUGUCAUACCGAAAAUUCUUAGCCAUAAGAGGAUUUGUAUAUCUAUGAACAAUUAUUGGGCUUUCAAUUCUUUUCUGAACCUUGACUUAAUCAUCACUUUCCAGCGGACUGGUAUCAAAUUGGAGGUGGAAAUUCUGGAAAUACUUUUUCUACUUGUCUGGAUAAACAAAAUAAGAGACUUCUUAAGAUUUCAAACAAAAUGUUUUUUCGCCUAGUUUCUGUAAUUCAUAGACAAGUGUUUUCGGUUUAAAAAUCAUCUUACUUCUAUCCAGAUCCUAAAUAUCCAAAGAUUCAGAUCCUUACACUUUUUAGCACAGUCUAUAUCACUAGAUAUGUGAAUCUCCUGUGAUAUUUUUGCUGUGUGGCUAUUCCAUAUUAUGCUCUCUUUAACACUUGGAACUUAUUUCUUGUCCUUCUGUUUUUUGUUUUAUUUUAUAAGAUAUUUGAAUAGAAUCAAUAGAUCUUAUGUGUUGAUGUUAGGUUUUUUGAACUUUCUUGGAAAUGAUACAUCUUUCUGUUCUAGGUUCCAGAUUCAAGUGAAGAGAGUCUCGCAGCUGUUGCAGGAAUGUUUAGCAGCAAAGCUAAAGGUAUCUUCUAUUGUAAUAUAGUUUGAAUUUUGAAAUAUCAAUAUCGGUUGCUUUUCCAAGGGAGCUAACUCAUAGUUAUAGGAAUACAAGAAUUUAAUAUAUGAGAAUCUCCUCAUUGUCUCCUUACUGGCAUGAAAAGAGAACAGCAUCAUAUUUUGUUUGAUUAAGUUACACUUAUCAAUCAUUGUUUCAUAGAAAUUCUUUCUUUGUGUUGAAUCUGGUCGAUGCAAUGGGGACAAGUUCUGUUCAUUUUUUUUUCCCAGUAGUUGAUUCUUGGGAAUUUCUUAUUAGCUGUUCAUUAAUGUUUGUUGUGAAAAUACUUGGACUUGCCAUGCUGUAUAUAACAACAUUUUCUUUUUUCAUCGAAGAUACAUAUUUGCUUGCAAUGUCAGAAUUAGUAAUGCGGCAACUUUUGUCCAUGUAGUUUGUGAUUCAGUAAUGUGGCACUGUUGUUAGCUAAAAUGCAAACCUCCCAUAACAUAUUGUGAUAUUCUGAUUGUCACCUUGUCCUCUGAAAUCCUUAUGAAUUUAUGGAGGGUAGAUGUCAUAUGAACUAGCAUUCAGAGAAUUUUGUUGCUUCCAAAUGCAUUAUCUCUCAGUUGCAUUAGCCAGCAACAUAUAUUGGGUGAAUUAUGUGAUCUUAUUUCUAGUAAUUAAAGGACCCAUAAGUUGUUGGCAGCAUUUUCUGAGAUAAAUGUAAAAGUAACUGCUAGUGUAGUUAGCCGGAUUAAUUGAAGUGAUGGUCUCCAGUUGUUGCUUGUGUUGUUUCCAUUCCUGUUAUGAUUUCUUUUUUUUUUAAACGUGUUAUUAGUAUUCAUGGCUUUCGGAGCAUGAUAUAAAGUUUGGUUUUGCAUUAUCGUCUUUAAGUGCGAUCUCUGUAGGUGUUGAAUGGAGCAUGGAUAAUGAUGCGUCAAAUGCCGCUGUUCUGGUUGCCAGUGAAGCCCAUGCUAUCACUUUAGCUGUCGAGGGUCUUUUAGGUGUUGUUUUUACAGUUGCUACUUUGACCGAUGAAGCUGUUGAUUCUGGUGAGGUGAGAUCAACUAAUUUUCUUUCACUGAAAAAUGAUGAUUUCCGUGGAAUGUUAAAUAACUCUUGACUUAUCAUUUGCUUCACAUGCAGCUUGAAUCCCCUAAAUCUGAUGCUGACCAAUCAGCUGAAUGCACUGGAGAAAUGGCUCUUAUCUGUAUAUCAAUGGUAAAUUCAACAUGGUUGACCAUCCUUGAUGCUCUCUCUCUUAUUUUAAUGAGGUAGGUUGACAUCUUCCUUUGGGAGUCUUACUAACGUCAUUGUCUAGUCUGUUUUUUUUUAAUGACGUGAACUGCCAUUGGAAGGUCGCAAGGGGAAGCCAUAAUAUUGGAAAUACUGAAAGGAUAUCAGGCAUUUACUCAGGUGAUUAGGUUUUUGAUGUACUCAUCGUGUGCAUAUGAUUGAGGCUAAUUAUUUCUAGCUUGUUCAUAUUAUUGUAUAAUGAUAUACUUCUUUAUUUAUUUUGUAUGGAGAAAAGAGUUUUAAUGUGCUAUUUAGGGCUCUUGUAUCUAUUUUGCAUUUUAUUUUCCAGUAAUGUUCUCCUAGUAACCACUCUUAUCGCAUAUGAACUCCUAGCCGUUUGUAUGAGGCUACACGUUUACAUUCUGGAGGUGAUUAUCUGCAUGAAUACUGUUUCAGGCAUGUGGAGUUCUUCGUGCUGUAGAACCGUUAAACUCUUUUCUGGCAUCUCUGUGCAAAUUUACAAUCAACAUUCCUAAUGAAGGGGAGAAGAGAAGGUAGUAAACAUCAUUUUAGUUGGCUCAUUCUGUGUUCUAUUGUCCAGUUUUUCUCAAAUGUGUAACAGUCAACACCGGCAUUAUUAUACAGUAGAUAAUAUGCUUUAUGACACGUUUAGACCAUGUGCUUUUUAUGAUCCUGUGAAAACUUUCUUGUACCUCUUUCUGUUUGAAGCAUAUCUAUUUGUAUGUUCUCCUACGAAUUUGGAUGUUUUUAAUCCAUGAGAUGAUGAGUAUUUUUUUUUUUUGGGUGCAAAUCUGAGAUGAAAUUGCCAAUUUACUGUUGUUAUUCUUUUUUGAAGUCUAAAUCUUAAUGUUCUAUUGCUUUUUCUUUAAAUUAAUGAGUUCCUAGAAGUUGUAGACUUGAACUUUUUGUCAUUUUUUACUUGUUAUUGCUUCCUUGUUUGACUUAUAACUACAGACAGCGUGUGUGGAUAGAAGUAAUAUCUGGAAGGAAUCUAUGAGUAUGGGCUCUUGCUUUGUUGGUUUGUAUAGUUGAUACAAAAGCUAUUCUAGAUGAAAUCUGGCCAUUAAAGUUUUUGAGCUACCUUUUUCUUUGUUAGCAUGAUAUGAUAGUUCAACUUAGUCUCGUAAAGAUGGAGCACCGGCUAAUAUAUCCUGCUUAGAUUGAUUUUAGGUUGUGUGUGAAGGCCAGUGCCUCCUAAGUAUGGUAUAAACCACAUAAACCAAAUGGAGCAGAAGCUGAAAUUCACAUAUUUUAUCAUCAUGUUUAUAUAUCCAUAGGUGAUUUCAGAAUGGAAGGUGGCAGUUGAACACAUAUAUCAAAAUGUUGUAUGGCUUAAUUGAGAAUUGGAUGCAUAAUCUUAACCUUGGAAGUUGGAAACAUUAACAAAAGAAAAUUAACCGAGUUUAUUUUGAGUUUCAUUCUUGUUUUUUAAUCUGGUAAAAGUAGAAACAAGAUUAUGAAACAUGUCUGAAGGUCAAGAUGUCCUGCUUUGUAGCCCCCUAUAUUUAUUAGCCAGUACUUCAUCAUCUUGUCUUUAUUACAUGGUUUGAAAAGUAUCUCUUGCACUCCUCUUUCCUAAUCCGAGAGAAUCUAUGAUGGCAAUGUCAUUUGCAUUGAUAUACUUCAUUAUUUAAUUUUCUUUCCACUUUUAAUCAGUCCUUUAUUAUCUCCUGGAUCAAAGAAGCCAGAACCUUUACAAGAUCAGCGGGAUAACAUUGUUCUGACACCAAAAAAUGUGCAAGUAAGAUUAGUCAGAUGGUUGUUGAUAAUUAAUUUUGUUACAAAUAAUUUGCCAAGUUUUGUGAAAUGAUGCUUACUUCAGUGAAAUUAAUGCUUUUAAUUUUGAUUGGUUGUUUGUAUUCUUUUAGGCUCUGAGGACACUUUUUAAUGUGGCCCACCGCUUACAUAAUGUUUUGGGUCCAUCCUGGGUUUUGGUAGGCUUACACUUUGUUCUGUAUCACAACCUUUUUAUUUAGAGUUCUCAGUAUCCUAUCAAUCAAGCCUUUCAUGCUGCCAAUGUCUAGGUGUUGGAGACCUUGGCUGCGUUGGAUCGAGUCAUCCAUUCUCCACAUGCUUCUACCCAGGUUGUUUUGUGAAUCAGCAAUCACUUCCGUCACUUCAUUCCUAAUUUCUGCAAUAUUUUGAGGAACUUUGUCCUUAUUACUGUUAUUUUAUUUCAUCAACAUUUAAGCAUGUGAAAACAUAUUUUUGGUGGGCAGAGUGACUGAUGAGAUUAACUCCAAUUUAAGUUAAAAUAAAAAAUAAUUAAGCUUCUUUGAGUGAUGGCCAUCAUUCAGAUUUCAUAUGACUUCUAGUUUCAUGGUAGUUAUAUUUCACGCCUUCGAAGUUUCACAUUUGCCAUUAAAACCAUGAUAAAAUUUGCUCAAUAGUUUUUUUUAUUUUUGAUUGUUGAUAGUUAAUAAGUUUUACUCAUAGGCUGCUAAAAUUUACUUGAAUUUUUAAUUCGUCACAAAUAACAUGUUUCUGAAGCAGUAUUGUGGUCCAUAUGCAUGUGUAGGAAGUUUCAACUUCUGUUUCAAGGGUUACAAGAGAAUCGUCUGGACAGUACAGUGAUUUCCACAUCUUAUCUUCUCUUAAUUCUCAGGUCAGCAAAGUAUUUCAGUACUAGUGAUACAAAUUUUAUUUUUUAUUACAAAUUCUGAUAUUGUUCUUUUUUUUGUUUGUUUUUUUAGUUGUUCGAAAGCUCAGCAAUGAUGCAUGUUUCUGCAGUAAAAUCACUUCUAACUGCAUUACGUCAGUUGUCGAGCCAAUGCUUAUCUGGAAAUUCUCAAUUAUUAGGUCAACACAUUGGAACAGUUGUGUUUUCGGUGGAACGCAUGGCGUCAAUACUUGUUAAUAAUUUGCACAGUAAGCAUUUAGUUUUUAAACAUCAAAAGUCACGUGCUUCUUUAUACUGUAUUUAUUUUAUGUAUCAGAUAGUAAGUGUAUGUAAAGGGACGAAAUGAAAAUAUUGAAAGUAACUUGUUGACAAAAUGGUGGAUAUACCACAUUUGCCCCCCCUUUGUCUUCCCCCUAAGUGGCUAUAACUUUAGAGUAUAAAUUAGGGAUUAUUUAUUAUGGAUUCUAAAUAGCAGUUUAUAGUUAUAGAUUGUAGAUUCUAGUUAUUUCAUAAGGUAUAUAUAAGAGUACAUAUAACAAUAAGAAUAUAUAUACUAAUUUCAUAAGGUUAUAUAUGUAAAUUGAUUAUUAUAAGAAUAUAUACCUAGCAAAGUUAGCUAAGGACUUGAUGAUUGGUAUCCGAGGUUCCAAGUUUCAAGCCUAGUUGCUUCAUAUUUCUAGCUAAGUUCAUUUCUUAAAAAAUGAAUGAGGCGGGUAGCUUGCUACCUUUCUCUCUCAAAAAAAAACUAUUGUUCUCUCUGAUACCAAGUUAGUUGGGCAUGUUAUGUAUUUACUACUGCUAGUUCUAUCAUUUUGUAAUGAUGCUAUUUUCCUAAUUAGAAACUGUUGCCGACAAUGAUCCAAUCCUUUACUAUGACCUGAAUUUCUCUGUCCACUCCCACCUACUUGUGUGUAUACCUGUAUAUUUGUAUAUGUAUGUACAUGAGCUCUUUGAAUAGUAAAUUGCCAAAACAACUCCGUCCAGAUAGAUAUCAAAUUCUUACACACUAAUUAUUGUGAACUGGAUUUCCAUCUUUCCAGGGGUGGAGCCCAUAUGGGAUCAAGUUGUUUCUCAUCUUCUUGAGGUGCUGUUUACUGGUAUUUUUGAUGUUACAUUUGUUUUGAUUUUUCUCUCUAUUGGUAACAUGAUCAAGUAUUGCAGCUUGCUGAUUGUGCCAAUGCACAAUUAAGAACCAUGGCUCUGGAUACAUUGGAUCAAUCAAUUUGUGCAGUGCUAGGUUCUGAUCAUUUUCAGGGUGUCAGUAGUUCUUCAUAUCAGCUUCCCAACUUCGAAGUGAGCAAUCUUUUUUUUUACGGGUAGACUGUACGUGUACUCUUGUACUGUCACAAUAUUACGAAAUUAAUCCCUGAGCUUUUCACAUGAACUGUUAAAUAGACUCCUUUAAUAAUCGGGAGCUUGGCCCCCUACACCAGAACCCUCAAGUCUGCCCAUUGGGACUCGUGCGUGUGUCCCCACCCUUUUCCUCCCGAUGACUUUAAUUGUCAUAUAUGAGAAAGUUCACGGACUAAGUCUUAUUAUGAGUAUAAUGCGUGGACUUUCCAUAGGUAGUACCCUUAUUUUAGUUUUCUGGUAUGGUCUUUUAUCUUUUGAAUUGAUUGGCCUUCUGCUUAGGUGGCAAAAGAAUGUGAAAUGGGAUUAUUCGAGUCUGCAGUUUUAUCUCCAUUAAUGGUCCUUUAUACUUCUAACAAGAACCUUGACGUCCGUGUUGGGUCGUUGAAAAUUCUCUUGCAUGUUUUAGAGGUAAUCUUAUUGAAUCAGAGAGUGACUACCAAUAUUUUGUUAGUUUUGAAAUUGCCAAGGCAAUGACAGUUUUUGCUGCAUUGAAUCUCAGAGACAUGGAGAGAAGUUGUACUAUAGCUGGUCCAGCAUACUUGAAAUGCUGAGGUAUUUUCUUUUCAGCAAUUCACUCAAUUAUCCUUUUUUGGCUUUAUUGGUUAGAUAUGUGGAGAUCAGACUAUUUUCCUUUUCUUUCCAUGAUUUUAAAUGCAUAGGGCGGUUGCUGAUUCAGCAGAGAAGGAUCUUAUCCCACUGGGGUUUCAGGUGAGGAAGAUAUAAUUGGCAGCUUUAGAUUGAUAAAGAGCCCUCAUGGAGGGCAAUGAACUUAUUGGGUUAAAUAUUCCUUUCUUGGCUUAAAUUUGCCUUCCUGUAUUGCAAUUUUCGUCAAGAUAUACUAUGAUUGCUUGAAUUUUAGAGCUUUUCUUUGGCUUUUAUUAUGCAGAGUGUCCGUGUUAUCAUGAACGAUGGAUUAUCAACCAUACCUGUAAAAUGCCUUGAUGUGUAAGACUCUUUGUUGUGUAUAUUAAUUUAAUUUAGUUGCUGAUCUAGUCAUUUUUAUUGGCAGCUGUAAGUUUUAUUAUUUUACUCCUAUGAUUCCUUCUGGCAGAUAAAAAGGAACUUCAUUUGAUGUAAUGUGAAGGUUAUUUGUUUGCUAAUUUCCUAAAGGAGCCUAUUAUGUUUUAUUUUGUUCUUUCCCACACAAAUUUGAAUAUCAAUUUUGGCAUAGUUUUGGGUUACUUGUCUAUUUUGGCGCCAGAAGUUGAGUUAAGUUGUUACAAUUGAAACUUUGACUAUGAAAAUUGAAAAGUAGGUCUAACUACUUCUGACUAAAUUUGUGAUUAAUUCUUUUUUUCUCAUAUAUCGCCUUCACAAAUUCUGCAGAUGUAUAGAAGUUACUGGGGAAUAUGGUGCUCAGAAAACAGAGCUAAAUAUAAGUUUGACUGCAAUUAGCCUCCUCUGGACUGCAACUGAUUUCAUGGCCAAGGGAUUAGUUAAAAGUGCUGCUCAAGAAGCUGGUAUUACAGAAAAUGAUAGACCAUCACUUGCUUAAUAUUUAUCAACACUUUAAUUUUGCUACUUUUAUGCUUAUCAUUAAUUGUUUCUUUCAUCACAGAAAAUGAUAUGUAUCACAGAAAAUGAUAUGUAUGCUGAUGGCUAAUAAUUUGGUUUUGUAUCUUACAGAGCUAGUGUCUGAUGUGGAACCUGUCAAAGGACAAGAGAAAACAUAUGAAACUUAUGAAGAUGAAGCCAUUGGACAUCCCACUGAUGGAAAUGCUAGUCAAGUUCCUAUGAAAAGUGCUGUUGAUCACAAGAAAUUGCUAUUUUCGGUUUUCUCCAUACUUCAAAGACUUGGCGCAGAUGAGAGGCCUGAGGUACUCCUUUCGUAUUAACGAGCAUCUCCGAACAUGUGUGCACACAUCCUUUGUGUUUGCACAAUCUUGUUUUUUGAUGGUUUAGUUUAAAGAAAUUAUUGCCUGCACCCAUUGCACAACAUAAAAAAGCAUGCCCAAUGAGACGCCACCGUCCCUUCUCAUCUUCAAUCUCUUCCAUCUCUUCCAUCCCCUGUGUUGAAUGCUUUCCUUGUUUAGAAUUCAUUUUCAUUAUAAGUGAGUUUGAUGGUUGUUUGGAAAGUGUGCAAUGGAAAUCACCAGGGGGCAUCGGCAGUACACCACAGUAUUGUUUAUUGACUUCUUGACCUUAUCUAUAAAUCUUUCAUGAUCUACUUGUUAGACUUCCAUCCAUUAUUUGUUAUAUAUUAUCUCCUACAUCUUGUUUUAUUUAAAAAGAAAAAAAAAACUGUUCAAUCAUGAAAUUUGUAAUACUACUGCUGUGAGGAAGGUUUUUGAAUACUUUUGAACUUUCCUCUUUAGCAUGUGAUUGUUUUGUUAGUGUUUUACACAAUAAAACAGUAAAAGACCAUUACUGCGACUUGGUUCAAAAUUAAUUGUUCUGUUGAAUUUAUCAGCUUUGUUUGGUUUUCAGCAUUGCAGCCUGCAGAGUUCUGACUCUAAUUGUUUAAUUAAGAAGUUUUGUUCUGAUAAACAAACAAACAUAUCUCCCUAUUGAUCUUCAGCGGUUAAAAGAAAACAUAAAUUCUUUGCCAUUCGACAAAAUUUAUUGUAAAAAAUGUGGUAAGAGUUCUAGUAAAACCUUCUGUGCUCAUAUCAAUGCAGUCUACUCAGUCUUGUGGUAGUACACUUUUUUCUUGUUUGUAGCUCUGUUUUGUUUUAAAACAACAAAAUCAGAAUAACCUCUUUUUUUUUGUGGCAAAGAUAUAAACAUCUGUGUGGUUGUUGCUUCAUUACAGGUGAGGAACUCGGCAAUCCGGACUCUUUUUCAGAUUCUGGGCAGUCAUGGACAGAAAAUUUCCAGAAUCAUGUGGGAGGAUUGCCUUUGGCAAUAUGUUUUCCCUAUCUUGGAACGUGUUUCUCACUUAGUAAGUUAUUUUCUCGUAACUCUAAAGUUUGUGAUGAGUCUUCUGUUCUAAUUUUCCCCUGAAUUCUCUAAACACUUCCACAGGCUGCCACCUCAUCCAGAGAUGAGUGGCAGGGAAAGGAACUAGGGACUCGUGGAGGAAAAGCUGUUCACAUGCUUAUACAUCACAGGUAUGUACACUCAGAAUGGAAGGUGCUGGUUCUAUCAGGAGAACUUAUUCCCUGCAAAUGGUGCACCACAUCAGCGAUGCACUGCUGAUGUGAUGUGCUGUCUGUUCUAUCUCAUACUCCUUGGUUGGAUAUAUAUGAGAUGUAAUUGAGGAUAGAACAUUGAGCAGUGCACGGGUGGCGCAUGUAAAUUCUGUUGUUUACUUCUGUUUGAUCAAACUUCUGGUACUUGACCAUACCUGGUUUUGCAGCCGUAAUACAGCACAAAAACAAUGGGAUGAAACAAUUGUAUUGGUUUUAGGUGGAAUAACACGACUGUUGCGAUCCUUUUUCCCUUUUCUUCAGAGUUUGAACAACUUUUCUACAGGUAAGUCUUCUCUUUUGGCAAGUUUGUGUCCAAGUUUGGACACACACACACACACACACACACAUAGAUACAUACAUACAUACAUACAUACAAAGAGAGAGAGAGAGAGAGAAUGUGUCCUGUGCUUUCGAAAGCACGGAGGCCUCCGUGCUUGUAAGUUGUUUUUGAUGAUGGGAUAUCAGAUUCAAUGAUCGGCUCCGUUAGGCAUAAUUUACGCUAUUAGAACUAUUUAGAAAUCAAAUUUCAUAAUUUUUCGAUAUUAUUUACCAAGUGAUCAAAGGGUCUCAAAAAUGACUAUUUUAAUGGCCGAUGUGGCACAUUUGUAAGUUCAACAAUGUAAAACAAUCCAAAUUUGGUGAAAUGUUAAUAGAAAAUUUUGCUUAUCAUCAAGAGCAAGAUCAAUACUUCCAAUUUAAAAUUUAUCUUUUUACACUAUUUUUUUGUGAGAUUUUUAUUUUCGGCCGAGCAAAUGAAGUAAAAAAUUUAUGAAAUUUGAUUUCUAGAUAGUUCUAAGUUCCAACACUGUAGAUCAUGUCCAAUGGAACUAAUCGCCGAAUCAAAUGUCCCAUCAUCGAAAACAGCUUGCAAGUACGGAGGCCUCCGUGCUUUCGAAAGCAUAAUAGCUCAUAUAUAUAUAUAUAUAGAGCUAGGCUGGUAUACUAUCGGUAGCACGGAGACCUCCGUGCUACCAAGUUGUUUUCAAUGUUGCGGCUUUCAAAUCGACGAUCGGCUUCAUUAAAUUUAAUCUACACUAUUAAAAAUAUUUGGAAAUUAAAUUUCAUAAUUUUUCAGCAUCAUUUACCUAUCAAACGAGUAGUCUAAAAAUGAACGGCUGAAAAUAAAAAUCUCAUAAAAAAUGAUGAUAAAAGACUUCAUCAGAUUUGGAGUGUUUUACACCGUUAAAUUCACAAACGCAUCACAUCUACCAUUAAAAUUGUCAAUUUUGAGACCUUUUGAUCACUAACCAAAUAAUGCCGAAAAAUUAUGAAAUUUAGUUUUUAAAUAAUUUUACUAGUGAAGAUCAAGUCUAACGGAGCCGAUCGUUGAUUUGGAAGCCGCAUCAUUGAAAACAACUUGGUAGCACGGAGACCUACGGAGGCCCGAUAGUAUACCAGCCUAGCUCAUAUAUAUAUAUAUAUAUAUAUAUAUAUAUAUAUAUAUAUAUAUAUAUAUAUAUAUAUAUAUAUAUAUAUAAGAGUUGAGCUGGAAUGCUAUUAAUAGCAGACGGACUCCGUUGUCAUCCAUUUGUUUUCGAUGAUAGAUCCUCCAAAUUGAUGAUCGACACUGUUGAAUAUGAUCUAUACUACUUGAAGCAUCUAGAAAUAAAAUUUCAUGCUUUUCUGAUAUUGUUCUCUUGUCCAUUAAGUGGAUGCAAAAAUGGAUGACUGAAAAUAAAUAUUCUUUAAAAAGUGAUGCUAAGAAUAUUGUAAUCAAGAUCAAGAGUAUAGAUCUUGUUUUAAAUAGUUUAAAGAAAUUUCGAACCAAAAUUCAAUUAAUUUGGAUAUCUUUAUAUCGUUAAAUGAGAAAACGCCUUAUAUUGACCAUUAAAACUACAAACUUUGAAACACUUUGAUCAUUAGGUUAAUGAUGUCUAAAAGAUUUGAAAUUUGGUUUCUAGAUACUUUAAGUGGUCGUUGAGUUGGAAGCUCCAUCAUCGAAAACAAAUGGGUGGCAACGAGGCCUGUUUGCUACUAAUAGUAUUCCGGCUUAACUAUAUAUAUAUAUAUAUAUAGAGAGAGAGAGAGAGAGAGAGAGAGAGAGAGUCCGGCUACUAUACUAUCGAUGGUACCAAGCUCUUGGUACUAUCGAGUUUUCUGCCGUUAGAUGUACCCUUUGAUCAUUUCCACCCGUUAGAUUAUACUAUUUAACCAACCACCCGCUCAACCCUAGGGGACCACUAUCCUCCUAACCGCACAUCCUUUCAUCCAACGGCUGAAAACUCGAUAGUACAAAGCGCUUGGUACUAUUGUUAGUAUAGUAGCACAAUUAUAUAUAUAUAUAUAUAUAUAUAGAGAGAGAGAGAGAGAGAGAGAGAGAGAGAGAGAGAGAGAGGAGGGCGUCAGAUCACAUACUAUUAUGAGGUAUUGGGCCUUCGUACUCAUAAGUUGUUUUCGAUGAUGGAGCUUCCGAAUCGACGAUCCACUUCCGUCAAAUAUGAUCUAGAGUAUUUGAAACUUCUAGAAAAUAAAUUUCGUAAUUUUUCGAAAUCAUAAUAAAGUCCAUCAAGCAGGCAUAAAAUAGAUGGUCAAAAUCGAACGAUGUCUUAAAAAAUGGAUGGUCGGAUCCUUCAAUUUAGAUCAGUUAUUGAUCUUUAUCUAGGUAGUGAAUAGAAUUUUCUAUCAAAAAUUCAACUUAUUCGGAUUCUUUUGCACCGUUAAACUAGCAAGUAUUCCAUACCGGCCAUUAAAAAUUGUUAAUUUUGUGAGCUUUUGAUUGUAAGGUAAAUGAUGUCGAAAAAUUAUGAAAUUUGAUUUCUAGAUGUUUCAAAUGCUCUAGAUAACGUUUAAUGGUGUGGAUCGUCGAUUCAGAAGCUCUAUCAUCGAAAACAACUUAUGAGUACGAGGGCGAUCGUACUCAUAAUAGUAUAGUAGCCGGACUCUAUAUAUAUAUAUAUAUAUGAUUUGUUAUCCACCCAGUUUAUUAACUACCUUGAGUAACAUGCAGGCUGGGAGCUUUUGCUCAAUUUUGUCAAGAAUAGCAUCUUGAAUGGUAGCAAAGAAGUUGCUCUUGCUGCAAUAGGCUGUUUACAGACAGUCGUUAUUUCUCAUUGUCCGAAGGUAUAUUAUGUGGGGGCUUUUUACAUUUAUUUCCCUGCAAAGUCAUCCAUUAACUUUGAUUAACGUAGAUAUCUCUGCAACUUAAUUUCUUAUCCUUGCGUCCUUGUACUUACAAAAUUUCCCCAUGAAUACAAAACCAACUUUCCCCAUGAAUACAAAACCAACUUUCCCCAUGAAUAGAAUUUCUCUCAAACUUGAAAGGGUAACUCACAAGAUUCAGCAGUUUCAAGGUCAGGUUAUACAGGGAUACAGCAUAUAUAUAAAUUAUAAAUGGAUUAUUUUGUAGGGAUAUGUAUGUAAAGGCUCCUUCUUGAAAUGCCCUUCUGUUUGUCACUUUUGCUUUGACGUACUUUACAGAAGUACUUUUCCUACUACUGUUGCUACUAUUAUACUAAGUCAAGACCUGGAGUCCCAUUUGAAAGAUCUAUUUCCGUAUUUUACUUCAACUGCAUUACUCUAAUACCUAUAAUUUUCACUAUAUCAACUUUGAGUUGACCAGGGAAAUCUUGAGAUGUCAUAUUUAAAAUCCAUGCUUGAAGUUUAUGAGCUUGUACUUCAGACAUCGCUCAGUUAUAAGAGUAAUUCAGCUGAUAAGGUGAAGCAGGAGAUUCUGCAUGGUCUUGGUAAUGCAGCUGAUGCCUAGUAGUUUGUAAAAGUCCUUGAAUAUUGGGUAAAAAUCUCAAAUAGUCUUAGUACUCAAACAAUAUUGUGACUUAGUGCUAAUACCAGUGUUUACAGCUCGGUUCCAAACCGAAAACCAAACCAAAUAAGACAAUUUGGUUCGGUUUAUAUGGUUUUCAGUUCUGUUUGGUUUGAAAAUAGUUAAAAUUUGCUUUUUGGUUUCGGUUUGGUUUUAACACUCAUAACCAAACUGAACUGAAAAUUGAAUAGUAAUGUUACCCACACUUUUUAUCUAAACCAUAUAUUAAAAUUCUAUAUUUAUAAUUAAAUCUUGAUUACAUAUCAACACACUUUUCAACAUCCUAUGCUUAUGAUCAAAAUUUUUGUGUAACUUUCAUAAUGAUUCAAUUUUGAUUCUUAAAUUAUGAAUUAAUUCAGAAGAAAAAUAGGAGUUCUGAAUCUACUUGUGAAACAAACCGUACUAAUUGAAUUAAUUUGGUUUAGUGUGGAUUGGUUCCAAGAAUAAAUUGGUUUGGUUCAGCUGUGGAUUUUUUCAAACCGAAAAAUUUGGUUCGUUUUGAGAAUUUCGUAAAAUCCGAAUCGAGUGCACCCCUAGUUGCUGAACUUCUAACUUGAACACUUUAGUCUUUGGAGUCCUUCUACAUAGCAAUCACAUCCCCAGCAUUACUAUGUACAUGAAAAGUGUUAAGUCACAUGCUCAGCACGUGACCCUUACCUUAAAACGACCAAUUUACCCUUUUCCAUAAAUUGACUUCAUUAUUUCAAUUUGUCUGAAAUGGGGGUAGAUGGUAUCUUACAGGAAAGUACCGUGUGCUCAGCAUGUGACUAUAUGGAUGUUAGGCAUUUUGAACGGCCUAAGAUGCAAUUGCAAAUCUAUAGGAGGGUUCUGGGAGCAAAGUGUUUAAGGGGAAAGUUUAUUUACUAAGUUGCAAUAUUGUGCAAGUACAUGGACUAUUCAUAAAUUGUCCAAGUACAUGGACUAUUCAUGUUCUACCCUUGGAGAUCUGAUGAUUGCAGUUUUUAUUAUGUGCAGGAGAUUUAUAUGUGCAAGCAAAGUCAAUGUUUGACCCUGACAUGUAUCUGCGACUUCUUGCUGUUCUGAAAUUGACGAUUAGAAGUUUGAGAAGUUCUUGUGAUUCUGAAAUUGAAUCAGUAUGUUCAUACAUCAACUGGAUCUGGCUUUUUUUAAUUUUCGUUUUGCGCUGUUAAUUGCAUGUUUGGCCUGGCUAUUGGAGCAGCUUCUCUUCUUCAAGUAGAAGUCUGGCAUUCAAUAACCAACAGUUUGAAUGUUUGCCCUAGUUGGGAAGCUUCGAGGCUCCAAAAAAUUGAAUCUCCUGCUACAAAUUAGCAUGGUGCACUACAGCACUAGUGAGGAACUUUAAAAGAAUAGCUGUUUGUGCUUCUCUGGACAGACAAGCAUCAUGAAUUUCACUUUCUUAGAAGCUCCAACUGACCCUAUGUGUAAAUAUUGGAUUAUUUUGUAUCUUUCAUAUUACUCAAACAUCAACAAUGUGUUUACUUCUCUCUCUUAUGUCGAUUAUGUAGAGCUCCUUUUCUUGUUUAGCCUUUCUGCUAACACAUUUUUGCUCAGGGAAAUGUUACCCUGGUUCAGCGCACUGUCUUGGAAAUUAUACCCCUUCUAGUCCUGACUUUACGUGUAUUGUAUCUGAUUAUUUUGCAUCUUUCAUAUUACUCAAACAUCAACAAUGUGUUUACUUCUCUCUCUUAUGUCGAUUACAUAGAACUCCUUUUCUUGUUUAGCCUUUCUGCUAACACAUUUUUGCUCAGGGAAAUGUUACCCUGGUUCAGCGCACUGUCUUGGAAAUUAUACCCCUUCUGCGUCCAACCGAUCUUUUACCUUCAAUGUGGUCCCCGCUCCUCCAGGAACUGCUUUGUUGUCUUAUUGGGUUUGAAGCUUCCCCAGAGAAAGUGAAGAAUCAGAUGGAUGGAGACCAAAAUGCGAUGGAAUCAAAUGGUGAUACUAACAAUAAUACUGGUAGGUCUGAUUGAUUCUAAUGUUUAGAUCCUUCAAGGAAGGCUUAACCCUUCAAAAGUUUGAAAUAAUUGUAUAUAGCCAUUGAUCUUUGAAAAAUAUCACAGAUGCUUUCAUUCCUGUAUAAAAGAUAUAGUUUGGAAGUGCUUUCUCCAUGAUAGCAGUCAGAUAGUGAUCUGCCAAACCCAAUGCAAAAUGGAUGAAUUUAUUAAAAAGAAUACCCUUUCCGAAUAUUUUUCUGAAAAUUAUAACUAUUUAUUUAGGGCAUUUAUUAUAUUUACAUUGGCAUUUUGAGUAUUAUAGGCAUACAUUAAUACAUACAAGGGCAUCACUAACUGUUUCCAACUAGUAGGGGGCAUCUAUGGUAUUGUAGGUCACUAGAAAGGAAGUAUGCAAUAUUUUGAAAAGGAAAAUAAUUUUGGAAAUUGGUUGUUUGUCGAGAAAAUAAAAUGGAGAAAUAAAAGCUUGAAAACUUGAUGUGCUGAAUGGUCUUGUAUUCAUCUCCAUAACAGAAGUGGGACCUUGUUCUCUUCAUUCUGGUCUUGACCCUUCUGAGGAUACUAUUGCGUGUGGCUGGAACCAUCCUUUCGAGGAAAAGCUUGUCCCUAUUAUUGUGGAGCUUUAUUUAGAGGCGCCUGCAAAUGAAAGGUUCAGUGUAUCUCCACGAAUAAUUCAAGGCCUUGGAAGGUAACAUUGCUCCUUACAACUUCUCUUUCAUUUGAGAGUACAUCAUUCUUAAGUUAACAUGCUACUUCAGCUGAGCACAUUGGAUUGCCAUAAAAUAACUGUAAUGCCUUUAUGGCCCAUAUCAGUAAAGUGAAAUUCCCCCAUGGUGCACCUGAUCUCUGUAUUCCCUUCCCCAAGACCUUAGGUGAAUAAGCAGAAACGUGAAUAAAAAGAAGCUAAGAGAGUAAACGGUAUGGCACCCUAUUCCACCUUCUGAUUGGAGAUUAAAGAGUAGUGAAUUUUAAGUUAAUUAUGUUUCUGGUUUUAAAACUUCUAUGUUUACUUUUUGUCGGAAAAAGAAAAAAAAAAAGAAAAAUAGGCCUAUCUGGACUUUAUUAUUAUUUUUUUGUAUAUUAGUUAUUGUUGGUCAGAUGAAUCUGUAUAUUCAUGUAAUGUAGGGAUUGGAACUUUUUUUUUAAAAAAAAAAGGAGUUUAGUAACAGACAAACAUCAGCAUUUAAAAAAUAGAGUUAAGUUACAGACAAUCAUCAGCACUUGUUGGUCUCCUCUUUUUUCCUUUCUCGCAAGCAUUCUUCUCCUUUGAGGGGAACAGCUUUCUCUACUUUUAAACCCUAGUUUACUCUAGAAAAAGCAUCUUAUUAAGCAACGCAUUCCAAGUCAAGUUACAAAAAUCUAAGGAUGGAGUCUGUAUUUAUAACCUAAAUCUUCAUAUGACUCCUAAUAUGGUAACAACUCUCAAUAACAUAGUAAUGAUCAUAACAAAAAGAGAGAACUCCCAACUGGAAAUCAGAAUGUAGAAAGAUAAUAAAAUAAACUUUACUGAAUUGGAUCAUAAGGCUUUUUCACUUAUUCCUUUCAAACUUGGUUAUUGUCUUUGCUGAUGGAUGUAUGCAAAUAAAUUUUUUUUCUUAAAAUAACUCAAAUUAAUCUUGUUGUCUGGUCAGGUGCAUGAGUACGAGAAGAGACAACCCAAAAGGUUCAUUGUGGAGGGUUGCGGUUGAGCGCUUCAACUGUGUUGUUAUUGAUGAUCUGAAAAUAGUAGUUUUGGAUCACAAAGCUGACAAGCAUGCAUAUAAACUAGCUAGGGCACGUUUAUGGAAAGAAGUCGCAGAUGUGUAUGAAAUAUUUCUUGUCGGUUCUUGUGGGCGGGCUUUAUCAACUGAUGCUCCUUCAGCAGAUGCUCUCAAGGCUGAUGAACAAAGGGAGAUGACUCUUCUCAGUGUUCUGGGUGAUGUCCUCAAAGGUCAAAUAGAUGCUCCUGCUGAGGUGAAUUCAUUAUCCUCGAUUAUCUCCUUUGUCCUUGUUUGGCCUUACCUUAGAAAGAUUUCUUAUCCGGAGUUUGGCAAACAGAAAUUUUGGGGCUCUUGCCGUGACGGGAAGCUAGAAUGAACUUUUGGGCUUCAAAAGAAUAAGCUUUAUUCCAAAGCUUCUGUUUCUGCUUCUGCUUAGGAAGUUGCUUGGGUGAAUUUAAUGAAAAAGUUGUUACUGUUACUUCAAGUAGAUCUAUCUGAUCAGCACUUCCACAGAAGUUCCAGCUGCUCCAAAUAGGCCUUUCUUCCUUUUUUCUAUCCCAUACUCUGCCUAAAACUUUGCAUUUGCAGGUACUGCAACGGUUGGUGAUGACACUUGAUCGUUGUGCUUCCAGAACAGGCUCUUUACCUCUUGAGAGUGUCGGGCUUAUGCCUUCCCAUUGCAGCAGGUUCUCACUAAGCUGCUUACAGAUGAUAUUCUCUUUAUGCAGGUAUCAUUUUAAAUUGUUUGUUCUGUUUCGAGCAUUCUGCGACUAAAAUGGAUCUCUAGGUUUAUAGAAAAAUAGAUAAUGUUUAUGUUUUUGCAGUUUUACUUCUACAGAUAGUUGGGAUCCAAAAAGAUCAGAAGUUAGCAAAGUCUCAAUUAUCAUUCUCAUGAGGAGAUGUGAGAUUAUAUUAAACCAGUUCCUAACUGAUGAAAAUGACCUAGGUACGUUUUGUAUUUGUCUAUUAUAAUAAAUAAACCUUAAAGGCUUACCUUUUUUUCCUUUUCAUAACAACCAAGUUGAAUUAUCCUGUUUUCAUUUGAUUAAUACUCUGAAUUCUGUUACAUUAUGGUUCUUUAUUUAUAUGUUUUCCUUUUGUAGGUGAACAUCAAUUGCCUAGCGUAAGAACUGAAGAAACAGUUUUUGUCCUUCAGGAGCUUGCUCGGCUAGUCAUUCAUUCUGAGACAGCUGCUGUUCUUCAAUUACCGCCUUAUCUGAAAGCAGCUCUGGAGAAGAAUGAACAAUGCAGGCGCCCUCAUUUAUUGGUUUUAUAUCCAUCUUUCUGUGAACUCGUUAUAUCAAGGUUUGACGAUUUCUGCUAUUAGUAAUGCAUAAUUUUCCAUGUUUUUUGACUUCUGUUUCCUUGCUUCAACUGUCAAAAGUUUUUACAACAUCUACAAUCACUUAUUUUGCAGUCUUUCAUUGGCUCUUUUGGUAGUGAUAAAUUGAUAGGUGCUCUCUUCCUUGUAAUAACACCAAACAUCCAAUUAGAAGUCUCCAUGUCUAUAUAGUUGCAAAGAGUUGUAGAAAGUGGUAUUGGGCAUAACAUUACUCUAGUAAAUACCUACUACAAAUACCAUGCGAGUGAUCAAAAGAAGAGAAAAAAAGAGAAAACGUACGGACUUUAAUGUACUGUAGUUUAUUUUGUGGUAGAUACUUGAACUUCAAAAGUUUUGAUUUUAUCACACGACAUUUCAUAUUUUUGUUUUGGUCUCACUGCGUCAUUGUUAGAACUAACAGUGUUUGUAACUUUUUUGAUGUAAUUUUCUAUACCCUCAUGGGAUAUUAAACUACUUGACUGGAUAUUGUACUCCACUCUUUUGACGGGAACAAUUUUCUGACAUUAUAGAGUUUUCUAAAAUCAAAAGCGAUAAAAGGUUUGGAAUCAAAAUUAAUUCUUGGUACCUAUUUCAAGAUGCACUACAGUUCAAGUAAGGUAUGUGAAUCUUGAAAAAAAGGGGGGGAAAAAGAAAAUCAACUUACUGAAUUUUUUUUGCAUAUUAACUUGAUUACUUCUUGGUAAUUCAACAGGGAAGCCAGAGUAAGGGGGCUUGUGCAAGUGCUUCUUAGACUCAUUGCAUCUGAUCUAGGGCUACAACGUUUGAUGUGAUUUUUAAAAAAAAAUCCCUUCCAUGUAAUCUUUGUAUGCGUAUCCUUUAUUAUGUUUCCUCUAUUUGGUUUAUGUUAUUUAUAUCUUCUAUGAUUCUUUGUAACAUUAUAGAAGAAAUGCAGUGGUUGUUCUUACAGAUCCAAAUCACUUGCAGUGUACUCUGUCCUUUUUCAUCCUGUCCUUUUUCUUUCCGUUCCAUUUUUCCUUAUUAGCGAACCAAAGUUGUAAGGAAUGAGGGAACGGUUUAGUCGCCAGGAAAAAGGUAUUUUCUACUGAAUUCUUUUUUGCCACAUUGAAAGUUAAAUGUUAUGAUUUCUGGUAAUUGUGCAAUCCAAAUGAAAGCUGUUUGUAGAUGUUACCCGUGCUAUGCUAUGUUUUCCAUGGAACAAUCUAGAGAAUGAAAAGCUUGGCGUUGUCUUGUAUCUUUAUAUUUUCGCCUUUUCUGUAAAUCCAUACAGAAUGGACUUGGUUUUGCUGCUUUGUAAUUUUUGUGAACUCAUGUAAAGCUAUCGAACACUGAAAAGAAGUAAUUGCAUGAUGAAGCUUCUGCGUCCGCCGCAGAGGUGCGUGGUGCGUAGCGUAACCGUAACUAGUGUUUAUAAAAAACAUGUUGAGAGGCGGGCUCCUGUUGGUGCAUUUUCGCAUUGGUGCCUCGCGAUUUUGCUCGUAUCUGUUUGGCAUCUGGACAUUUUUAUUUUGGUUUUUCUAAAACGGCAUUUCUCUUACCUUUACAAAAAAAAAGAAAAAAAGAAAAAAGAAGAGCUUGAAUCACAGUCCGGGAUGUGCAAAUAGCUGGUUUCCAUUGUGUUUUCAUCGGGUUUCUUAUCUGACCUUGAUAUGAGAUCUGUUAGAAUUAAGUUUUACGGUUUAGGUUUUGGAUCUUGGUUGGACCAAAACCUGAUCAAAUAUGAUCACAACUUGGGUAAACGUCGGAAAUAUCUUUUUCGAAAUGACCCAAAAGAUCUAGCGCUUUCUUAUCCAAGUAAUACAUUUGCAGAACCCGCAAAUUAGUCAGAUGGCUAAACUCUUGAAGGCAAUGUUCAUCAGUAUGAUCAGUCUUUUAAGAUGCUGUAAUGAAUUUAUUGAAAAAUAAGUGGAUUUGGAAUUUUCUUUUUUAGGUUAAUUGCAACAUUGGCUUGCAAUCUUUAUCCCAUUUUCUAUUUUAGGCUUAAAAUUUUAAUAUUUUACAAAUUAAGUUUGACUCAAUCACAAGUGUAAAAUUGGCCCGCUUAACUUUUUUUCUAACUUUUUUUUUUUUUAAGAAUUAAGUUGUCUACCUGCUGCACCUUAAUCCUCAAGUUUCGUACCUAUUAUUAGACGUAGGAUUCUGCAAAAUUACCCUUUUGUUUUUUAUACUUUUUUUUACAAUAAUCUGAAGAAAUUUUAUUUAUAUUUAGUUAAAUGAUUGAAUUAUUAAUUAUUUUGCCAAAUAAAUGUUUGACAGAAUUAUUAGUUUAAAUAUUUUAAAGGUUAUUUUAAAAAUAAAAAUUUGUUUCAAGAUCGUCUGACUUGAAAUUUUUUUUUUAUUAAUAGACUUAAAAAAUAUUAUAACAAUAAGAGCUUGUUUGGUUCAUCCAUUUUGGGUAUGAAAUGGGAAUUGGUUUGAUCAAAUCCGGUUAAUUUUGUUUGGUUCGCAUGAAUCGAUUUAGGAUUUCUAUUCCGGACUGGAAUGGGAAUGGCCCAUUAGUCUUCAACUUAAUUCCGGUCUUCUAGCCCGGAUUGAGAUCUCAUUCCGGAAGCCCACUAAGUUCUCGAAACCCAUGUGACCAUCUCACCCUCCUUCUCUUCACCCCUUUCUCAUCAAAAAAACAAAAAAAAUCUAUUCUCUCUCAAAAUCCUAUCUUUAAUCCACAUCAAUAAAAGUUUUUAAAAAUAAAUUUGAUAUUUUUUUUUGGAAAACUUAUUAGAGAAUAGUAUUAUAUUUUUCAUAAAUUUUAAAUAGUAUAAAUUUAUAUUUGAGAGUAAAAUUAGUAUUAUAGUAUUCUAUAAUUUUUUUAGUUUAUACGAACCAAACAAUGAAAUGUGAAUAACUCAUUCUAAUUCCCAAUCCACAAAUAAACCAAACGUUUUGGGGGAGUGGGCCAUUCCAAUUACCAUUCUAUUAUCUAUUCCAAUUCCACCCUUGAACCAAACAAGCCCUAAAAGUAGUUAGUUUGAUAAAAAAAUUUAUUUACAAAAUUAGACCUAUGCGGUGAAUGAAUUUUCGUUUUUUAAAUAUGGCAAAUCAUUCGCCGCUUUCUUUAAAAUAUUAAAAUUAUUUUUAAAAUUUAAUAUUAUAAUAUUUUUUAGAGUUUCGAUAUGGAAAAUAUAAAAGUUAUGUAAAACUAAUGAAUAAUUUAUCUAUUUCAGGAAACACCAAGGUCUAAUUUUUUGAAUAAAAAUUUUGAAUAUUUUUUUUAACAAUUAGAAAGUUCGUGGCUAGCCCGAAAAGCCCGACUGACUACUUGAUAGUCGGUGUAAACUCGAGUCGGGUCCGACCCGAACCGGCCCUCUCACGCCCCUAAAACCCUAGCGAAUUUUUUGUCCCUUUCCUCAGUUCCCACCAUCGUCCUCCCUCUCCGCUCUCUCUCUCUCUCUCUCUCUCUCUCACGCACACACACACACACACGCAUUAGUUAGUUACUGCGCGAUCCGAGGCCAUGGACUCGGCUGGUGGCGGCGCCCAUGGCGGAGGCGGAGGCGGAGGAGAUGGGUCUUCUCCGGCGGCGUGGGCGGCGGUGCUGGGCGAGGGCGUGUCGCUGGUGCUGUCGCGGUGGACGGCGCUCCAGAUGGCGGUGGAGAACGGCUGGGNGCAAGGCCGACGAUCUCGCCGCCUCCAUCCUCUCCUGGUUCGCCCAAUCCAAAGGUCCAUACAACCGGCUUCUCUUCUUCUACUGUGCAGCAUAGCAAUCAAGUUUUGGGUGUUUUUUUUUUAAUUUUUUUUAAAAAAAAAUAUAUUUAUAUAUUUAUAUAUAGCUAAAAACGUUGAAAUCGUAUGGACCUCUCGAAAUAGCCACCUCAAAGUUUAGAGAUUUGCUGAAAAAUCCGUCAAUUUUCAUUAAAAUUUCGUAAUUUUUGUUAGAAAAAAAAUACUAUUGAUUGUAUAUCACAUUGGAUUGAGAUGAUAUUUAGACGGAAAAGUUUAAAGAUAUUGUCAAAUUUUGACCCAGACGUCGUUGGUUAUGAUGACGCAUUGAUAUUAUUUGCUUCAAGAUGGGUAGCUGCUUCACUUCAACAUGUGUUAACAUUUUUGCCGUUUGUUUGGUUCAAUAUGGAUGCACAUUAUUAUUAUUAUUAUUAUUAUUAUUAUUAUUAUUAUUAUUAAUCUUACUGAUUUAGUGGUCGAAGAUAUUUUUAAUGUUCAGAUCCACAUUACAUUGAUGAACUGGAGAACAUGAUAGACGAGUGCAUGGUAAUUUCAUUCAAUGCGGAGAUUGAGGACGGGAGCGUCGAGGAGGUAAUUUCGCUAUGUCGGAAAAAGGAUCGUACUGAGUCAUGCUUGAAUUGAAUUGAUCUUUCGAUAGAACAAAUUCAAGCGAGUUGGAUUUGGGAUUGAAAUCUACGAAUUCCCUUCUCUUUUCUUUUUCUUUUUUUUUUUUCCCCUUUUCCCGUUUUGUCCUUACUAGUCAGGUUUAGGGUCCAUUGGAACUUGAAAGGGUUUCUUUGUACAAAUGGAUUUCUCAUCUUAGAAACUGAAAUUACUGCAAGUUUCAUAUCUUUAUACCUGAACUUAAUGACGGAAACCAUUAAGUUCUAACAGGACUUUAUGGAAUUCUUUGAAAUGAAAUAUAUAAAAUCAAAAUUUUGCCGUUGCGUUGUUGGACCAUCUCUCUAUCUCAGACAAUGAGGUAAUCUCCCUGAUACCGACAACUUUUUGCUCUCACCUUUUUGCUUUGAUAUUUGAUCAAAAUUAUACGAUUUUUCUUUUGUGCUAUACGUCUUUGGUGAACUUCGACAUGUGUGUUGGAUUGUUGUUUGACGACUCUUAACAUUGUUGUUAAAUGUUAUUAACAUUUAACAGGUAGCAGAGCAACUGAUGAUUAUGCACGAAGACUGUCUCAAAGGCAAUUACGAAUCAAUUGAAAAGUUGAGGAAUUCAGGUCCUCGAAUAAAUGCCGUUUCUCAAAGUAGACGGGUAAUUGCCUAACUUGCCUGCUACUUACUGCAUUUUGUUUUUUUUUUUUUUUUUUAAUUUAUUCGUCAUAGUUGAUUUGUAAAUUGCGAGGAGUUACUCAACACCACAUGCGAAAUAAGAAGAAAUCAUUUUAUAUCAGAUAUUGCAUAUGCACAUUAUCUGUUAAUUUUCUAAUGGUAGGCUGCCUUCUGUUUUUAUUCUUUUCUUUGUAUUGAAAGUACAUUAAAAGUUAUUUUAGUUCAUGAAUUUGCCAACUGACUAAACAGUAAGGAUCCUUAUUGUGAAAGGAAUUAUCUUUUUGAUUGACGUGUCUGUAGUGUGGAAGGGAAGGAAGUUGAAAUAAUUUAUGAAUUUAUUGUUGUUACUGGGCACUUAUUCCGUGUCUAUCGAUACUUUUAAGGCAGAAAUUGCACCAGGGUACCCUACCUAUAAGUAGGUUUAAGAUUUCUCCCUAAUCUUGUAAUUGCUAUGGUUGAUUGUAAUCUUGAUGCAAUCUUCUUUGUUUUUUUUCCUUUUGUUUUAAUUUUAAUUUUUUAAUUUUUUAAUUUUUUGCUUUUAAUUAUAUUCCCCUAUUUGAUUGGAUGGAAUGGCCCCAAAGUUGCGGCAUGAGAAGUUUUAAAAUUGCUUUAAUGAUAGUUAGAUAACGAUUAUUUGGAUAUUUCCAUCCAAUUUGAUUUAGGAACUUGUUCGAAAGAAUAAGAUUGCAACAAAUUACAAAGUUUAUUGACACAAUUAUAUGUAUUGACAGUUUGCUGACCAAAUUGAAGCUCUAAAACUAGGUAAAAAGUUGGACCAUUUGGUGUAAUUUACUGUAUGUUUAAAAUGGUGUAAAACAUAUAGACCUUACCUAUAACCCAUUUUUGAAAUGGGUACCUAAGACCUCGUUUGCUAUUGUUGCCACUUUUUUGGUUUGGUCCUGUUAAAACUUAACACUUUCUAUUAGAAAAAAUUACAGGAUAAUCUAACAAAUUGUGAAGGAUAGUAUUUAAAUCCAAGUAACUGCAAAAUUAGGUUGUAAAAUCAAAUAUUUUGGAAGUGUAGAUACCCAUUUCUUUUCUCAAUACAUUAUAGUUCAGGUAAGGUUUUUAUCUUUUCAAAUUCCAAAGCCUAUCGACAUUUCCAAAUUAACACAAAUGGAUUCGGAUUCUACAGGUGAUUGAUGAUAACGAGGAUGAGAGCUCAGAUGAGGAAGAGUCGGAAAUGGCGGUGGAUGAGGCCCCGUCAACAGCGAUGGCUGAGGACCACCAUCCUAAGCCGGCAAAAGCAGUCCCAGAUGAAGAAGGAUGGUCUGUCGUCGCUCCAAGGCGCAGCCGAGGUAACCGAUCAGGAUGAAGCUGGAGCCAAGAGGAUAUUACGAUACGUAGAAUGUCAUUACUGUCAUUUUUGUGGUUGAGUUUCUGGUUGGUUUUCUCUUGAAUUUUCUGUUAUAUGUAUAUGCACACUGAGUUAUUGUUGCGACAAAAUCUUUUCUUCUACUUUUUCUUUCUUUCCCUUAGUUUACCUGGUAAGUUCUUAUGUAAACUGAAACCAUUGAAAAUCCUGCUGUGAGUUGGCGCCAAUUUGGCUCAGCAAUAACUGCUUACAUAGAAAUGUUGUUUGAGUAGAAAUAUUCGAAGAAGUACAAACAAUUUUUAGGUUAGGUCUUUUCAACUGCUUCCUGCAGAAAUUGGGAGUAACUGUUAUUGGGGUGGAGGGUGGAGUGAUUUUUUAUGGUGCUUUUUUAUUAAUGCUAUCUGGAGAAGUAUCAUCUAAAAAUUUGCUUGCUUCUCUUUACAGCAAAAUUAAAAGCUCCAAAUUGGAGUUUGUGCUUUUGGGGCAUAGAAUGUCAUUUUGGCUUUCCCCCUGUAGCACAAGUUCUAAAUUUUGUUUGGUGGAUCUUCUAUUAAAGGCUAUUACUUCUAAAAGCAGAAGCAGGAAUGGUCCAAACAAGUCCUUGGAAGGAUUAUGUAGGACUAAAUUGUUUUGUGAAAUGGCUUAAAAUGAUUGUAAGAAUAACUUUUGUUGUUGGUUCUUUCAUAAUGUUUUAGCGGAAGCCAAAAACGAAAAAAAAAAAGAAGAAGAGAAAAAGUAAGAUCUCUUGUUGUACUCCAAAAUUUUUAGCUCUUGCAAACUCAAAUUUUUCGUGAUUCAAAGAUAAAAAACGAUCGAAACAAGAGAGAUUUUUAUGGACUUUUAAAAUCUAUUCCAUCGUUAUAAACUGUUGAUGUCUAGCUGACUGAUCAUAUAGAUAAAAAAUUAUAAAUUUUGGGGAGGUUUUUUUUUUUUUUUUUGUAAAAGCAAAAAGUAUUCUGUUUCUCACUAUGAACGUAUUUUUCUUCCCAUUUUAUUUGAGUUAUGCAUCUAGAGUUUAAGCAUAAUUUAUCCGCAUUGUCCGAUAUAGACGGCGCAGAUUAAUUUGGCUAAAAUUCAGGGACAAGAACAAUCCCAUGNUUGGGGAGGUUUUUUUUUUUUUUUUUUGUAAAAGCAAAAAGUAUUCUGUUUCUCUACACUAAUAUGUUUUUAAAUUCGUGAUUUUUCAUACAUGCAUCUAGAGUUUAAGCAUAAUUUAUCCGCAUUGUCCGAUAUAGACGGCGCAGAUUAAUUUGGCUAAAAUUCAGGGACAAGAACAAUCCCAUGCAUAGUGAACCCGCUUUGGUUUAUUUUAUUUUAUUUUAUUUUAUUUCAUCAGGAGGCGCAAUUAGGUCUCUUCGUGAACAUUAAACACCGAUUGAGAAGUGAGUAAGGAAGAACCUGAGAAACCCCCUAAAACCCUAAUUCCCCUCGUCCCUACUCUCUCUCUCUCUCUCUCUCUCUCUCUCUCUCCGAUCGUCCGCGGACCCCCAAGAGGAUCGUCAAAAGCUUAGGUUUGGUUGGAUGCAAAUUACUUUAUUUGUCUUCGUUAAGCAUUUGAUGUUUAGCAUUAUUUGAUUCCGAGUUGAAUUUGAUAGGGAGAGAGGGGGAGCGAUGGUGCUUAGGACUUCUGUUUUGUAUGCAUUUUAGGUGUUUGUUCGAAUGCCUCGAUGACUUUACCCUUUUUAACUAUAAAAAAAAAGUGGUCGGCUAACUUUAAAUUGAGCUAUUUAUCACUUUUUCUAGCAUUUGAAGUUGACAUUAUUGGAUUUUUAAGCAUGCCUUUUAAGUGUUUGAUCAAAUGCCUCAAGGACUUUAUCCUUCUAACUUCAAAAAAAAAGGGUUGGUUAAAUCUACGGCGUCGUAAUUUGAUAUACCGGCAAAAGGAUUUUUCUCUUGUUGUCAUGGUUAGUUAGCUUGUGCAAUGCACCUCGGCUAACUGAGGAAUUACAACUUCUUUUAGAAAAAUCUUGAAAGCCAAACAAAUGUUUCUUCCAAGUUUUUGUACUCUAUUGCCUAAUAAAUAAGUUGGACGUAAGGGAUUGCAAGCAUUUCACCAUUCCCUCCCUCACUAUUUCAUGCCGAAAUUCUAUUAAAAAAAAAAACAGCAAUGAUACUAAACAAGGCCUAAAUUGCUUUUAUUAUCACUGUCUAGAACUUGAACUUGGCAUUAUUGGAUUCCAAGAGCUGAAUCUAUUGGAGAGGAUGUCCAUGGUUUCAGUUAUGUAGGCAGUAGGCGUACUAGACGUUUGUCAAAGUGUCCAAGUGACUCCUCGCCCGCUUGAUCUUAAAGAAGCAGGAUCAUAGCAAUCAAGUGUUUCUCUUAUUAAUGGUUUUAAUCUGAGAGUGGAACCAACAAUAGCGUUGUUUUGUAAAAGUUCAUAUCUAUAUAUGCUAAUGAUGACGCGCAUAUUUGGAUAUUUUGCAUUUUUGACCUGUUUUUUUUUAUGCCAUGCAGGCUGAUCAUGGGUUCACUAAGAAUUGGAUUUCUUAAGCGCUUGAACGAGGUUUUAACACAGCCUCGAACUUCAUUUGGUGGGUAUAUACUUUGGGACUUCUCCUUACGGAUUAUCAUUAAACUUUUGCAUGAUUAUCCAUUUUCAUGUCUCAUACAUAUCAAAUAGAAAGGAGCAUAUCUUUUAAAUAGCAAAUUAUCUCGCAUAAAACCUCUACUAUAAGAUCAUAUAUAUUAACCGAAAACGUAUAAAUUGUUACUUUGCUUUCUGUAGGCAUUCAUAGAAGCUUAAAAGCAUGGAACUCCACCAUGUCAUUUGAUGAGUUUGCAGAGAAGAAUGACAUGGACGAUGAUGAUGAUCCUAUAGUUGACAAGAGAAACUUGGAACCCCAAAGUGUUGAUCCAAAAAAAGGUUGGAAUUUCAGAGGUGUGCACAAGGUACCACUCUCGUACCAAAAGAAUGCUAGAUUUGAGCUGUAUAUGCAACGAAGGAUAGGUUAAAAAUAAUUUUAUUCCUUGAAGUUUGAGCCAAAUGCAAUUAUGUUCUUGGUACUGGACUUUUGGCUACUAGUUCCUAAAACUUGUCUUGCAGUAAGUCCUUUUUUAGUGUUAUUAGGUUUUGCUCAUGUGGCAUUAGUGGGUGCAGAGGAACCUUGGCAUUAGUGGGUGGAGAGGAACCUUGCUUACCAUUUUGAAGACGGAAAAUUAGUGGAAGGACUUAAUUGUCAUGCAGAGCCAACUUUAGGGAUUAAUUGGUUAAAAUUGGAAGCCUGAGAACGAAUUCUAUUUGGAUCUUCAGGGACUAAACUUGUAACUAACCUUGUAAAACUCUUUAACUUUUGUUGACAUAAACAUUUUUCCUUUUUUUCUUUUUUCUUUUGAUGGGGUAGGCAAUUAUUUGUGGCAAAAUUGGGCAACCUCCGCUGCAGAAAAUAUUGAGGAACGGUAAAACCGUCACUAUAUUCACUGUUGGAACAGGGGGUAUGUUUGAUCAAAGAAUUAUUGGAGGAGAGAACCUUCCAAGGCCAGCACAGUGGCACCGAAUAGCAGUUCAUAACGAGCAACUUGGUGCAUAUGCUGUUCAGCAAUUAGUGAAGAAGUAUGUAGGGUUGUUUCACAACUGAAUUUGUUUGUGAUACUUCUUUCUUGAGGUUCUCUCUUACUUAGAUAUCGUAACUAGACCAGAGUAAAACUGGCCAUACUUGUCCAACCUAGUCCGCUGGGCCUGGUUUUUUGUGGGUUGGAUCAAGCCAUGCCAAGGUCAUGUGGUGGAGCCUGGUCUCAAAAUGAGAGGGCCACUAAAAUUGGACUGGGCACGGGUAUUCCAUUUCCUUAUGCUCAGCCCCGGUCACUAGGGUUGGCUAAGGUGAUUUUGGACCAGCCUUUGACUUCAAGUAGCUAUAAAAACAUUUCAGGCCUGGCAAAUUUUACCCAGCCCGAAACCUGGCCCAGGCUUUGCUCAAGUCUAAUUACAAAUUUGGGGUUUUACUUAUGUAUCUCUCUGAAAUAAUCUGUUUAUGUACACAUCCCUCUAAAACCUGAAUUUUCAUAUAUACCCCUUGGAAGUGCAGAUUGUUACAAUAUCUUCAGUGUGGGGUUCAUUCAAUUCAUUGGGUACGCUGGCUUUUUGUUAGAAAAGUUUUAUUCUUGAAAGCAUUCAGUAAGUAAAAUAGAGCUUAUAUUGGGUACUUAUGAAAAUUCAAAAUUUUCAGGGAUAUACGCGUAAAUAGAUUAUAUUUUAUGGGAAGUACUCAAAUAUUUCUAGAGGUUUAAUCAUAUAUUUGGUUUUCAUUUUCCCAUAUCUUCUUGACUAUUUCCUUUUAAUCUUUUGGUGCCCCUUCAGUUCUGCAGUUUUUGUUGAAGGGGAUAUUGAGACUAGAGUUUAUAAUGACAACAUCAAUGGUCAAGUAAAAAAUAUACCUGAGAUAUGCGUGCGACGUGAUGGUACGUUAGUUACUCUCUUUAACGAGAUUUUUUUUUUAACCUUAAUAUUCUUAUUUCAUUUAGACCAAUUUGAUAUACAUUUUGCCCAGGCUCUGUUUUUUUUAUAUCCAUUAACUUCAGUUUGAUUUAUACUUCACAAUCUAAACAUCAUAAAUUUAUUUUGCGUUACUUAAUUAUUUAUAAGCACUAGGCCGAAGAAAAGUUUAAGUUGGACAUGCUUAUAAACUCAGCAUGGUACUGUUAAACUUUCUUGAUUACUAAAGCAUGUCUUGAUCUAUAAACCUUUGGGGUUGUGAAAAACAAUCCGGGCAUAUAGUUGAUGUUUAAAUUACCAAUUGCAAGAUAGCUAGUAUGAAUACUCAAAUGUUUUUGCAAUAUGUCAUUUUAUUUUCUGCUCAUUCUUGGAUAUUUAUUGAUACACUGCUUUGUUUCCAUUUUCAUUCUAAACAAGAUAGCUCAUCAAUUUUUUUUUUUUUGCUUUUGUCCAUUUUUAUCUAAACGGUACAUCAUUUAAAAACUUGUACCUUUUUGCAGGCAAGGUUCGUUUGAUUAAAUCUGGGGAUGUUGCUUCCAGUAUAUCAUUGGAUGAGCUAAGUAUGUUCGUUUUCAAAACUUUUCUUCUGGUUUUUAGCCUAACUCUACUUUUCCUCUAAUUGAAAUUUCAAUCUCUAGAGGUAAUCCAAACAUCUAGGCUAUCCUUGGCAGUGAAUGUUGGAAAUGUUUUAAUAAUUAUUCUUAUUGGUUGUGUUGCUGAAUAGAUUUAUUACUGGAAGCAAUAUAUGACAUUUCAACACCGUUAUUUUGUUUACUUUUGACUUAAACAAUUUCUAAUGAAUAAGCAAAGUUGGUUCUUGUUGCUUGUAUGCACCUGACAUUAAAGCUUAAAGCAUUUCAGUACUGUAAGAUUAUCAUGUUAUGAGAUUGUUAAAUGGAAUCAGGUACUUCUAAUUCAUGAAAAAUUCAUUGCGCACAAACGAGAGUAGAGAUAUAUUUGUUCCGAUAGCAUUUCGUUGAUAAUUGCUCUCGAGUUACAAUAACAUAUCACUUUAUGGUGGCAGGGGAUGGAUUAUUCUAAGUGGUUCCAGCCGGUUAAACUUGCCUACUGUAUCACUUCAAGAAUUAUGUACUAGAAGGUCGAUCAUGGCUUCAUCGACCUGAAUUAUGAUCUUGUUUUUCUCCUCUUAUGUCAUACGUUCCAAUGGGAGAUUUGUGAACACUUACAAGCCUCUGGCAAAAAGAUAUUUUUAAGGUAACGUAGGUUAAACUUCUAUUCUCUUGUGUCUUCUUUUAGGACUUCUGCAAAAUCGUCUGCUUGCAUAUCUACUGCUAUAAUAUCUGAAUUUUCACGUAUAUCCCUCGAUAGUGAAGUUUGGUAUUUCCAUAUGUGCCCUUCCAAAGUGUGUGUGUAUAUUUAUAUAUAAACCCUACCCUAUCAGGGUUAUAUGCGUAAAGACAUUUUUUUUGGCAAAUAUUCAGGAGUAGUCGUGGAAAUACCUAAAACUAGUAGUACAUAGUGAAAUAAAUAUUUCACACUGUAGGUAGGUGAAAGACUGCGGUCUGAUUCUGGUCAUUCGGCUCUUAUCAUAGAAAGUUGAAAUAAUUUAGAAUCCCGGAAGCAAACGCCGCAAUUUGAAGCUCUGUCUGUCUUCUCUGUAGCUGAAAGCUGCUAAGGAGAAUAUUAAUGAAAAAGGUUGCUAGUGCUUUUUCCGAAGCCUUUGUUUCUGCUGCAGGGAGGGGCAUAGGGGGGGGGAUGAUAUUAAUGAAAAAGCUGUUUGUUUCUUCUUCGUAUAAUUGCACUUCUAGAAGCACUUCUCCUGAAGCUCCAGGCCCUCAAUUACUGAAGGAAGGAAAUCAUACAGCAAGCCAAGUGACCAGCUAUGAAAGCUAAAAUAGAUCAGAUCAUUUUUGUGCUUCACCAAGUGUCUCUCUCCACUAGGAAUUUUGCUACUAUGAGUACUCAGCUAGAGAUGUAAGUGGAUUUGGGUUGGUGGAGAUCCCGUGCCAAUCGGGCCGAUAAGUGUGAGCCAAAAAUAAGAAAAAAAUAAUCUGCCUCAAAUUUGUCCUGAUCAGCUAAGAAAUAGAGUGGGAGGCGGGGACUUUUAUUUCUUCCUUUGAUUCAGAUCCGUCUAAAAUCCGCUUCAGUCUUAUUACCCCAUUCUUAAUGAAGCGGCCGGUAAGUGGGGAAAAAAGUAGAGUAAAAUUCAAUCCGCUCGGAAUCCGUCCCAACCUAUCAAGAAAAUGGCUCCCUCCCGUUUGUAUCCCAUUCACUUUAAACUUUUUCAGUAAUAAAUUUGUUUCCUCUUUUCUCCAAAAAAAAAAAAAAAAGAAAGAAAGAAAAAGGAAUUCUUUGUCGGCACGUUAUAGGAUCUCCCCCAACAAAUUGCAAUUUGGUUCCUAAUUUAUCAUUUAAACAAAAGAGUCCCUUAUUUUAUCUAUUUAGGUGGAAUGCAAGGGACCACAUUGUGAUUCCUCAAUGGUUUGGAUACAGUUCUUACAUUUUUGUCAUACACUUUGUAGUGCUUUUUAUGUAUAUAUAUAUAUAUAUAGAGAGAGAGAGAGAGAGAGAGAGAGAGACGAGAGAGGCUGGUAGAUGCGUUAUGGAAGCACGGAAGGUUCCGUGCUUCCACUUUGUUUUCGAUGUCGUCGACUUUCGAAUCGACGAUCGGCUCCGUUAGAUUUGAUCUAGAGUAUUUGAAGUUUAUCUAGAAAUAAAUUUUGUGAUUUUUCAAUAUAUUGCUUAGUGAUCGAAGUGGCUCAAAAUCAACGGCUGAAAAUAAAAAUCUUACAAAUAUUAUGAUAUGACAUUAAAAUUUUAGAUCAAAGUUAUUGAUCUUGUUUUAUUGGAUAUAAGAAUUUUCUAUUAAAAUUUCAUGUGAAUUUGGAUAUUUCUACAUCUUUAAACUUGGCAACUGGCUCACCACGGCCAUUAAAAUUAUUGAUUUUGAGCUCCUUCGAUCACUAGGCAAAUGAUAUUGAAAAAUCAUAAAAUUUAUUUUUCAGGUACUUCAAAUACUCUAGAUCAACUCUAACGGAGCCGAUUGUCGAUUCGAAAGUCCGAAUAUCGAAAACAACUUGGAAGCACGGAAGCACUGAAGGCUCCGUGCUUCCAUAAGCAUACCAGCCCACUAUAUAUAUAUAUAUAUAUAUAUAUAAAACAUGACACUUGAUAUGGGGACCAUUUUGAUUCUUUGAGGACAAAUCAGAGUGGGGCAUUGUAACCUGAACCUAUCAAAAGAUAAAGGUAAAUUUGAAUUUAAAUCCUAGUACUUGGUACCAAAUCUGCAGGUGAGUUUCUGGGCUUUUUUGUAAAAAAAAAAAAAAUAAUAAUAAUUUGGGUUUGUGUAGAGUAAUAUAAGAUCUCAAUUGAUUAAUGGCUGUUGAUAUAUGUGAGGUCGAGAUUUAAACUCCAUUAUAUAUGUUGUAAAAGAGAAAGUUGGUAGGUAGGAAAUAUUUGCUUAAUAAAUAGGCUUUGCAACCAACUAACACCAAUAAUAGAGUAAGGAAUAAGUCAAUCCAGGUGCAACCACUUCCUGCAAUACUGGCAAUAGUUCUUCAGUAGGAAAAUGACAUGAUUUGACAACCAUCAACUUUUAAUUAACUUCUGGUCUGGGAGCAUAAAGAUAAACUUUUGUUCAGCCUCUGAUGAAAGCACUGGUUUCAGUUUGAGAAGAAGAUCAAAUCGAGAAUUGAGCUCGGAUAUUAUUAAAAAUACGAAAUAGUCAGUGCUCUUAAUUAGUGCUUCUACUUUUUCGCAUACUGAAUCAGAGGCUCAACAGAAGUUUAUCUUUAUCGCAUGUUUAGUGCUUCCACUUUCACACAUGUUUGGUCAGAGGCUUGAAUCAGUUUUAAGAUCCUCAGGUGUCAGCCUCAGAAUGCAAGCUUGCACAAUGUGUCACUUUCAGUAAUUCCAAAUUCAAAAUAUCAAGGCCAAUCAGUCAAUUUCACACUUCACACCAGCAAUUUCCUCUAACAGAGGAAGUAGCUCAUUUAUUUCAUGGAAAAUUUGGAUGAGAGAAGAAGACAUAGAAGCCCACAUCAGAUUGAAAUAGUUCUGUACAAUGCAUCAGAAACUAAAGCCACAAAGAAAAAAGAAGAAAAGAACAAGAAAAGAAAAUUCUAACAAAGUGAGAAUAUCUAUAAGAAGGAAAUCAAAAAGGCCAUGAGAAUUAGAUCAAACCUCUCUUUAGUCUUUAACAACAUCAAACACUUUUAAUUAACCAUACUCAGAAAAGGAUGCUGAGGGCUCAUCCCCUACCUGCGAAGAAUUGCUCGUCGACCGCCCGAACUUACUCGACAUGUCUCCCGAUCUCCGCCGCAGCAUCUGCCGCAUGCCGUCGGCCACCCGCACCGCGGGGUUCGACUUGAUCCUCCUGCAGAAGGCCAUGUGGGCUCUCAUGGCCUCCUCCACCCCCUGGCCCUUCCUCCUCCCCUUGCCGAGCUCGUCUCUCACCGCCUCGGAGCACAGCCCACAGAGCCAUUUCUCAUCAAAGUUUGCCUUCACACUGUCAAUGUACUCCUGGGUGCAAUCCUCUCUCAGGCCACAGCACUCACACUUCACUGACUCAAUCUCCAUGGAUAUAUAUGGUAGUUAUGUGUUGAGUGUUGGUUUUGUUGUGGAAAGUGUUUCAGUGGUGUGGGUUUGUAUAGGAAGGAGGUUUUUAUGGUUGAGGCAAAGGGCAGGGUAGUUUAAUUAGUUAAUAUGUGAGCUGUGCUAUAGUUUCUUUUUGCUUCAUGUUACAACUUACAAGAGAGAGAGAGAGAGAGAGAGAGAGAGAGAGAGAGGGGACAAAGUUAGUUGGGGACCUCAUGUAUUGGCCUUUUCCAAACAUUUGAAAUUUAAUGAGGAGGUGAGUGGAAGGAGGAGAUGGGGUGGAUUUGGGGAAUUGGAUUCUUUGUACCUAAAUGUCACCUUUUUAUUUUGUCAUCUCUCUCCAUAAUUUGUUUUUUUAAAAAAAACAUUUUCUUUUUAACUUUGCUGAGAUGGCCUUUGGCUUGGCUUGUAAACUAAAGCUUGGGUGUUGAGUGCUAAUUUUUUUGGAUUUGCCUUGGCCCAUUGAAUCUUGACUAAGUGGUAUGAUUGAUAUUUGUGUGUUGAUUCUAUCUCUUAGAUUAGAAACAUUAUCUUUUUAUAUGAAAAAUGUCACAUGUACGUUCAAAAAUAAGUGAAAAUUUUACACUUCUCCAUCGAAUAGCUAAUAUUCUAUACUAGUUUUAUCAAAAAAAUUUCAAUAUUAAAAAUCCAAAAAGUUUCUUUAGACGUUUGUAUUGAAGUGCAAAAUUUACGUCCACUUUUUAAAUAUAAAAGUAGCAUUUUUUUUUUUAUAUAAUAGAUGACAUGAUUGAGAAUCAUUAAUUAUUUUGAGUAGUUGGAAACUCUUAAUAGGGUUUUAACGUUUCUUUCAAAGUGCAAUCCUAAUAGUCAAAAUUAGUACAAUUUUUCAGCAGUUAGAAAGUAAUUUGAUAGGCUUUUGUCGUUCUAUGGUUCAAAAGUUAUAUUUAAAUAUUAUGUGCCAUAAAAGAUUUUACUUUAUUAUCCUAUUUGAUAAUAAAAUAAAAUUAGUACAAUUUUUCUCUUCGGAAUUAUAGGAUGACAAACUAAAAAUAAACUAAACCACAUAGAGUGAAAUUAAAGUUUAUCUUUUUAAGCCUAAAGGGUUGUUUGUUUCAAGGUUUAUAACAUAUCAAAAAUAUUACAUAUUUUAUAUUUAGAAUAGCAAAUUUGUUACUAAUUAAUCAAGCCACUUUAGUUUAAAGGUUGUUUAAAACUAGCGUAUUCUUAUUAAUGGACUAUAUAAUAAUUUAAAAUUUUUUAAUAUAAAAUAUAAAAAAAUUAUCGAAAUAUUACAAGCCAUGAACCAUGCUAAAUAUAAUGAUAGGAUGCAUUAUAUGAGAAGAUAUAUAUCCAAGAAAUCAUUCAUUUAUGAUAGGGACCAGCAACUAAUCUUUGAUAAGUAUCAUUAACUUAUAUUUUAUUCUUCUUUAACAUGCAAUGAUUUGAUUCAUAUUCAUUAGAAAGCAAUGAUUAGUGUUAGAUUUUGCAAUCUAGUCUAAAAUGGGUUUUUUUUUUUUUUACUAUUAUUUUCUUUCUCCACUUUAUUUUAAUAUUUUCUCUUUUGGUUCACAAAUAAAUAUUUCUAAACUUAGGGGACCCAUAACUUUACUCGUCUUUUUCACUCGAUUUAAAAUUUUGGAAUAGCCAUAAAAUUUAGAAAAGAAUAUUUUACUCUUCAAAAUUAAAUUUCUUUAAAAAAACAAUACCAGAGGAUGAGGUGGAUUUUUAAAUCCCAUGAUUUAAAAAAUUAUACAAUUUUAUAAAAAAAUUAGUUUCUGCUACGCCGCAUUCUUUGGAUAAAACAAAUAUAUGAUUCUACAAUUCCAACCCUUCACUGCAAUACAUCAUAAAAAAUAGGGUAAACUUUAGCUACCACCUCCAUGGUUUUGCAGUUUCUCACUUUAGUACCCUAUGGUUUAAAGUGUAUCAAAUUAGUGUCAUGUGGUUUUAUUUUUUUUUCGUCAGCUUUUCUGAUAAUAUUUUGUUAAAUUAUAUGCAAAAAAAACUUCAGAUAUCCCACCUAGAUUUAUUGAAUAUUCACUUCAGUAUUCUUUAGUUUUAACUUUAUCAUUGAUUUAACGAAAAAAAUUAGUAUAAUCGAUAAUAAAAAGAUAAAAAUAAAAUCAUAUAUCACUAAAUUGAUACACUUUAAACUAUAGGGUACUAAAGUGAGAAAAUGUGGUAUUUGAAGUUUUUCCUAAAAAUAUCGUGAGCCAAAGAUGCUUCUCCUCACUGCUGACGUGGCACCUCCUCGUAAUUAAAAAGAAUAUACAUGCUGAUGUGGCACCACCGACAUUAAAAAAAAAAAAAAAAAAAAAAAAACGCGUUAUACUACCUCACUAGUUUUGGACAAACAAACAAAGAGAAAUAUAACUACCACAAAUAAUAAUAAUAAAAUUAAUUAACAUAUCACAUGCACGUACGUAGUAACCAGUUGGAGGAGGAUGAGUCCAUCUCGGACUUUUUUCGAAAAUAACCCUAUGAAAUUUUGUAAUUGGCAAAAUAACCCUCUGAAAAUUUUAUUUAUGAAACUAACCCUCCUCUCGCCACCUCAGCCGCCACCUCAGCAUUUCUCAUAAAGACGGUGACUCGUUCACCGUCUUUAUUGAAGACGGUAAAUGAUUCACCGUCUUCUCUAGGCGUGGACCCUUCACCGCCUUCUCAGCAAUUCCCCGCGUACCAGCGCCUUCGCAGCAAUUCGACGAGAAGACGGUGACUCGUUUACCGUCUUAACAAAGGCGGUGAAUCGUAUACCGCCUUAUCUAGGCGUACACCAUUCGCCGCCUUCUCAGUGUUGCCCCCGCCCAAAUAAGACGGUGACUUGUUCACCGUCUUUACUUAAUCUUGAAGACGGUAAGUAGUUCACCGUAUUCUCUAGGCGUGGAACCUCCACCGCCUUCUCAGCAAUUCCCCGCGUAUCACCGCCUUCUCAGCAAUUCGCCGCGGAGAAGACGGUGACUCGUUUAUCUCUUUAAGAAAGACGGUAAGUCGUUUACCGCCUUAUCUAGGCGUAAACCAUUCACCGCCUUCUCAGCAAAUCCCCCCGACAGCUGGGGGCAUAGAUAAGAUGGUGAAUAGUUCACCGUCUUACUUAAGACGGUAAAUUGUUCACCGUCUUUAGUGCAACCCUUAAGACGGUCAAUGGUUUACCGCCUUAUCUGAGCAAGUUUACCGUCUUCAGUGUAGAACUCCACCCAGCCUAAUUUCGCCAAGUCCUCGAGAGAUACCGUCUUCAGUGUAAAACUCCACCCAGCCUAAUUUCGCCAAGUCCUCGAGAGAGGGGCUAAAACACAGAUAAGACGGUGACUCGUUCACCGCCUUAACAAAGCCGGUGAAUCGUCUACCGCCUUAUCUAGGCNAGAGAGUUAAGAGAGAAAGAGAGCGAAGAGUGAGGGAGAGGUGUCGGGGCUUCGGGUAUACCUAGGUAAGACGGUGAAUUGUUCACCGUCUUCAUUAAACAACAUUAGAGACGGUGAACGAUUCACCGCCUUACUUUGGCCCACUCCUAGGGGGUUACCAAUAAAGACGGUGAAUAAUUCACCGUCUUUACUGCAGCACAAAUAAGACGGUAAACAGUUCACCGUCUUAUCUGUGUUUUAUGUCUCCAGGACUUGGCCAAAGUUGGGGGGUGUUGUCCUGACCGAAGUUGAGGGGUGUGUACCGUCUUAAGUAAGACGGUGAACUGUUUACCGUCUUAUCGAGGGCACAGCAGUUCCAAAGGGGGUUGUAUUCGCUCUAAAGACGGUGAUGUAUUCGCUCUAAAGACGGUGAAUAGUUCACCGUCUCAUGAAGGCGGUGAACCAUCUUCCGUCUUCAUGAGAAAUGCGCAUAGACGGUGGACGAUUCAUCGUCUUUACGAAAAAAAUCCGACCUGGCGCCGACGUGGCGAAAGGAGGGUUAGUUUUACAAAUAAAAUUUUCAGAAGAUUAUUUUGCCAAUUAUAAAAUUUUAAAGGGUUAUUUUCGAAAAAAGUCCGUCCAUCUCCAUGUGAGAUGUGUAGAGUAAAUCAAGCUCUUCUUUUUCUCUUCUUUUGUGGUUGGAUGGGGCCGCACGUGGAAGGCCGUGGCACGUGCGUGACGUUGCCCCAAUAUCCGUAAAAAAAAAAAAAAAUGCUGUGUGAAUCGAGUUGUUCAAAAAUACAUGAAUAAUUAUUUAAUUAUAGUACAUUGUCAGGACAAUAUAUCUCAUUCUAAACUUUCUGUGGUAAUGAGAAUGCAUUCGUUUUGAUGUUUCAGCUCACAAAAAAAAGUGAGAGUGCUUUAAAUAGCGAGAAGCACCUCCACAAAAAAGAAAAGCUAAUGUAAUGUUUAUUUUUUAUUUUUUAUUUUCCUAAUCUCAGCAUUAAAGUGAGAUUUGUCCCUUGUAUCUAUCUUCGUGGCCAUUGUCACACCGAUAAAUAGACCUUAUUUAAUCAGCAGUUAGGGCAAGUACGGGCCCAAGUUUGGUCCAUGGUGGAUUGUAACAUGUUGCGUGUGCCCCGCAACUGCUUCGGAUUUUAGGGUUGAUUUGGUAUUGGGGGGAGACCAUGUGGGAUUGAUGAUGAUGAUGAUGAUGAUGAUGAUGAUGAUGAUGAUGGUGUUAAAUGCAAAUUUGGACCUAGGGUUUCAAGUUGGAUUUUUAAUUGCAAUAAUUUAUUUCACAAGCUUUGUUCUGCGUCGAGUGACGAUUUAGCAAAUUAAAGAAAGAAAAAAAAAAAAAAAAAGGUCUAAUAAAAGUUUUGACUGAAACAGAAACUGUAAUUUGUAGCUUCUCUCUUUUUUCUGAACAGUUGCACUAAAACACAAAACACUUCCGAAGAAGCACACUGGUAAUUAAUUUGGAUCAAAAGAAGCCCUAACUAGAGAUUCUUAGUUCCAUCUUAAAAUUUCACAUCUAAUUGUUGGAUCAGGGACUCUUUGAGUUAUGGGAUGUGGGUGAUGAAAUUAGUAAGUUUAGUCUUUCUAAUGAUAAGGCCUUUGAAAUUGAAAGGCUCUCAAACAUUUGUCCAAAAGCUGAAUAAUUGCUCACAUGGGAGUUGCUAAGGCUACAAAGAAUAAUAAGAGAGUGAUAGACCUUAUUUAUUGUGCCCUCUACUUACUUAUUUAAUGCUACCAAAUAAAAGGGGGGGAAAAAAAAAAAAGAAAGAAAGAAGAGAAUAAAUUUUUUUUUUUUUUAAAAAAAGGGGAUUAAAUUGCACCCCCACAUGCUCUUGUUGUUGGAGACAUGGGAUUACCACCAACCAAACUCAACCAACUUACUAAUUCCCACCACCCUAAUCAUUAAGAUGAUACAUAUUUAAAUAGAAGUGCCCCCAUUGAUUCAUUGACUACUUGAGAUAAGAAGAUUGGUAGACUCACUCAGGCAUGUUUUUUUUUUUUUUUAUUUGUGAUUAAUAGUCAACAGUUUAAUUUUUACUCUUUGAAAGAUCUUAACAUCUAUAAUUUGAUAGACUAGUAUAUUUCACUUAUGGUGUAAUUUAUCUUAUUCCGCAAAAAUGAUUUGACGACGAAAUAUAGUGUCUCAUUCUAGAUAUUUCAUGACAACUCUCAUCUAUUUAAUACUACAAGCUUCUUGAGUAAAUUAUCUUAUUCGGCAUAUCUCUUUUAUUUACUCAAGAAGCAUGUAGCAUUUGGUAGAUAAGAAGUAUGAUUAAAUGUCAAAAAUGAAUACUGUAUUCAGCCUUCAAAAAAUUUUUCAGAAUAAAAUAAAUCAUGUUGUACGUAAAAUAUGAUAUCUUAUCAAAUCAUAAAUGCUAAAACCUUCAAAGAACCAGAAAACAAACUCGUAACUUUCAAUCACACAAGAAAAUCUUCAUAUCAAAUAAAUAAUCAUUAGAUUUCUUAUUCCGACAUCCAAACAAAACUUUGUUCUUCUUAUUCCUCCACAAAUAAAAAAGAUUAGGCUCGAUCUAAACGUUGAAAUGAGAUAUCUAAUAAUAAGUUAGUUUGGUAUGCAAAUUUUUUCGCAUGAUCCGAAGUUAAAAGUUUGAUUUUUGCUCGUUGAAAUGCCUCAACUUAUGAUUUGAUAGAAUUACAUAUUUCACUCACAUCGUGACUAAUUUUAUUUUUAAAAAUGACUUGAAUAUCGAAGAUAUUAUUCAUUUUAAACAUUUGAUGACACUCCUCAUCUAUCACAUACUACAAGCUUCUUAAGUAAAUGAAAAAAUAUGCCAAAUAAUAUGUUCAUGUAUCCAAAUGUGUAGAAUGAAUAACAUAUUCAACCGUCAAGUCACUUUUUUCAGAAUAAGACAAAUCACAUCGUAGGUAAAAUAUGUAAUCCUAUCAAAUUAUGAAUGCCAACAUCUUUCAACGAACGAAAUUUAAACUCCUAACUUUCACCCACACAAGAAAAACUUUAUUCUGAACAAGAUAUUAUCAGAUAUUUUAUAAUGACAUCUAUACAUGGCUUCAGGAUAAUCCUUCCAAUAAAAGGAAUCAUUCCAGGAUUACCUGGGACCAAGUAUUCUAACCUACCUCUAUAAUAAUCAUGUAAUAGUAAUAUUACCCUCAUUCAAUAUCUAUUGGUUUCUAUUAUCAUUAUAUAGAUAGUACUGUGAUUGUUAGUUAUCUCUACAAUUUACAAUCAAAUGUAAAAUUAUUCUGAAUAAUGAAGGACAUAAUUAGGGAUAAAAAUCAUCCUGCAUAAUUUUGACCCCUAUAUAUCAGAGGUGGGGUCUUAAGUACUGCAUUAUGCAAGUUCACCAACCAAGUAAUGGAGACUGAUGAACAUAACAUGUUAUACAUGUUAUGUUGCUAAAAGGACAAAGAACAAAACCAUGUGCAUAUGAAAGAGAAAGGGACAGUAUUAGAUGCAACAUGUAGGGAGAGGGGUAGUACACCUGAUGCUAGAGAAAAGACAACUUAUUAAAAAAAAAAGAAUUAUAAAUACACAAGUGCACCACAAAUCCAUAAAACUUCAUCUAUUUCAUAUUAUCAAUCUAAGUGUCCAACUCUGGAAGUUAAAAAAAAAAAAAAAAAAAAAAAAAUAAAAUAAAACUUACAACUCCAUGUGUAACUGACAUUGAAAUAUGAAAUCAGAUUAAAGGCUGAUAGACAUGUAGUGGAUGAAUUAUACAAAUACACUUGGAAUGCAAUAUUUUUUUCUCGACCAAGUUGUGAUGACAAGGUUUGAGGGUUUGGAACUCAUUCGGUACUGAGAGCUAUUUAAUGUAUUGUGCCGAAAGGAGUUGGAGCAAUCAUAGAGAGAAAUGCUUCCCUAUUCCUACCAAGACCACAAAAACCAUAUCUAAUCGGAUUGACGUGUUAUUAUUUACAAAAAGAAACAAAAUAUUUUUCUAUAUUAUACUUUUUCACUACACGUAAUAUAUUUAGCCUGCAACCUCAAAUAAAGCCUUGAAGUGAAAUUUCUAAAUACUCAAGAAUCGAAUGUCAAACUUAAAAGUUUGAGAAUCGAAAUAAAGCUGGGCUAACAAUUUGGCAAGAUUUCCCCUCAGAAAAAGCUCCUCUCUAUGCAGAUAGAUAUAAAAUCUUUGUAUCAAGUCAUUGACGAAAAAACGAGACUAGUUAGAUAAAAUCCAUAAACAUGCUGCUACGAUUUUCAUUUUCAUUUCUUUUUUUUAAGCUUCUAUGAUUUCUUAGGUGGUAUUAUUAUUAUAAAAUAUAAAAAGAAAACUGAAUCACACUUAAAUAACAGAUAGAACUCUGUCCACUCAGACUUCACAUGCCUGGUGGUGUCUCCUGCACCAACUUGCACGGCCGAUCAGGAGGCGUACGAGGGCUUUUUCUCAAGAAAACCCUUCAAAAGUUUAGAUUUGAUAAUACAAACUUUCAAAAAUUUUAUUUGGCCAUAUAAUCCUUCUCUUGCCAUCUCAGUCUAUUGUAGAUGAAAAGCAAGAAAAAUUAUUAAGGCUACACUGCUUUUAUUAUAAUUGCCAAUUGAAAAGUGCUGAAAGAAAUGAACGCUAAAAAUGAUAAAUGAUUCACUGCCUUUGUCAAGUAGAAAAACAAAGGAACACUAAAAGUGACGAAUGAUUUAGUGCUUUUAUCAUAAUUUUCAGAAUGUUAAAAGCGGUGAACAAUUUACCGAUUUCGAAUUGUACGCAAAUAGAAACAUUGAUAAAAUGAUAAAUUAUUUACCGCUUUUCAGAAAGUAAGCUGCUUUCUCCCUAUUUCAUAAAAUCCCAAUAUAUAGCCUAGGAAGUAUUGAUGUGGAAAAAAAAAAAGAUUACAUCCCUUAAUAAAUUUUGGAGGGAGUUGGCUCACUAAAUAUAAAAAUUUUAAAGAUUAUUAUGAAAAAAAAGCUUAACGUACAGCGGCGCUGUGAAAAAGAAAAAAAGGUAAAACAUGUAUGGAGAUCCCCUCGAUUAACUUUUUCAAUUGGUAUCCCUUUAAUUCUAAUUUUUAAAUUUGAAUUUUUAUAGUAAGAUAUUAGUUAAGUUGAAAUUUUUGUUAAAUUUUCAUGAGCUGAUUAGAUAUUAGCAUUUCCUUAACCCGAUUUUAUUCACUUGGAUAGUAGUUUAAAAUAUCAAUCAGUUUGGUAAAAUUUCUAAUUUAUUUUGUUAAAAUCAGUCAAUUCAAAAAAAAAAUCAAAAGUUGAAGAGGUCUCAAUAAAAAAAGGUUAUUUUAGAAUGGCCUACAGCUGAAGGGGUCUCCAUAUAUUUUUACCAAAAAAUGAAAAAAUAAUUUACAUAUCUUUGUAAACCAUUGGUAUCUCAAUGCUUAAGACACUUGAAUGGGUUGUGGGAGGAUUGUAAAUUUAAAUCCCUUCCAUAGACCCUUUUUUCCCUGCUUAUAGAUCCUUUACCUAGCACCCCCAAUACAUACUAACCCGAAGUCAAGGAGACGGCUUUCACAUUUAGGCUCACACUAGGGCUCUAAUCUCUGACCUCAUGAUCUACGCCCGAGCCCGUAACCACUAUUACAUCAUUAGUGGUUUUGGUGUAACUUUGUUCAAGCAAGUAUUCAAACUUUUUGAGUUACAUCAUAAUACAAAUUUACUAGCAAAAUACCCAGGAAAAACAAUGAGGGGAUUUAUGUACGUACUCCCUGCCACAGAUAUAUUUACAUACAUACAUAUGCAAAAUUUUCCAUAUAUUUAGAUGAACUCCGAGAAACAUUUCUCUACAUGUAUAACUCUCAAAAAACAGAAUAUUCGUAUCUUUUAAUAGGUAAUUUUGCAACGUAUAUAUGUAAACACAACAUUUCAAAGGAAUGCAGUUUCUGAUUUGUAAACAUGAAAAACGAAUUGUGUACCCAAGAGCAAAAAAGGAAUUGAGCGUGAAUUGUCAUGGAGUGGAAUGGUAGCUAAUCUAAACUAGACAAACAGGCAUACACCAACAUUUGGCGAAAUAUUCUCACUAGCUUCUGUCAACUUAGUAGUCAUAAUUCAAAAUGUGUGACAAUGUUCAGAAAAGGAUUAAGCUACGACCAAGAAAUAUCUCAAAAAGUAACAAACUGCCAACACCAAGGAGAGGAACAAGAGACUCACCAUCUCAAGCUUUUGGUAUGUCGACGUCCUUGAUUGACUCGCGCCAACCAUAAACCCUAGCUCCAUCCUGGUCAACGAUCUUAAUCACAAAGUUUGGUGGAGCGAUGACCAGUCUCGACCGGAUUUCUGCAAUGAUAUUGUCGACAAGAUCGAUGGCUUCUUCCACGGACAUGCCGGGGUGGUAAUGCCGGUCCAUCAUAGACAAGGAGAAAUAGGAUCCGUACCCAAAAGCACCCUUGUCGAUUUUGUGAAGAGUUGCAAUGUAGUCAAUGUAGUAGAGAGACGGGCCGAUAUCCUUGUCGUAGCCAGCUAGUAAUAUGUUAACGAAAUAUGGGUUCUGGAGAAGAAAGAGCAUGUAACAUAAAUGGAGAAUAACUAACAAAGAAAAGCACUAAACGACAGUAACUGUCAUAGCAAGAUAGAGAAAAUGUUAUAUCCAAGGUAUUCAAUGGCAAUGCAGCUCAGUUUUCCUGGAAUACAAGUUAAUAAGAUCCAGCAAAUCUAGGCUUUUUAUUUCUACAUUUAGAAGCAAACAUUAGAAAGGAUGUGUGGAAGUACCCUUACAUGUAUUAUUUCCAUCAUAUCGAAAUAUAUGAAUUAUGACAGUCCCAAAUCACACCAAAUAACUUGCACGAGAACCAUAGUGAAUACCAGUAAAGUUCAACAGUUCCGUGAUGAAAUUAUCGAUUAUCGAUAAUAACAGUUAUCAGGUCUAAUUGAUUAAAAACAGGGGAAAUAGUUCUAUCAAUAGAAUGUAGCUGUUCUAAUGUUCUAACAUUGUGCUGUCAAUAGUUCAAUCAAUAAAGGAUAAGAAAAGUACAGAAACAGAGGAAAGGAGAAGUCCGAGCACCAUCAUAAGAAGAAAAAGGAGGAAAAGGGAAAGCAUAUGAAGCCCUUCAAACACGCGAAUACAGCACCAAGAACGGAAGCUGAUUGCCUCUAUUCUCAAAGGAAAAGACAGGUUCAACUACAAAUUAAGUUCCAAUAUAAGAAAUCGUAGUUAAAUCAUUCUUGAUUGAGUUUAUUUGAUUUUAAUGAGUCGAUUUUGACGUCAUGCUGGAUCAUAAUUGCGUAAAGACUGCCCAAAUCCAGUAUAAAUUGAUUCCGGACAAUCUUCAGCUGAUUUAAUAGUUGACCACUUACAAUCUUACAAUCUCAUCAACAUUGACCACCAAUCAAACCACAGCAAAAAAUAGCACAUUAUAAAUCACAUUUAAUUGAUAUCUUGCCCUUCUUACGCCUAUACUUUACCAACUAACUAUAUAAUCAUAGCCAUAGUAAUUUUUCAAUCCAAUACAAGUAGUAUCUUUAUGAUAUUCUCAUGUCCACAGUUUAAGUUAACAAUAAGCUGAUGUCUCCGCAUAAAGAACAAAUAAGUCUCGUUAGACAAGCACGUAUAAAAUGAUAUUUGUAAACAACAGUGUCGUAUAUCAAUUUUUCAACUGUUGAAGCACAAGUUACAAUCUCAAACAGAGUAAAGUGAUGCUCAAUUACUUCAAUAAAAAGUUAGAUACUCAAUUUCAAUGCGCUUUCGACAACAUCAACUCUCAAUACUAGCUAAUCUAUCAAAAAUUACAUUAUGCUCAUCAAUCUAAACCUAAUCGGCAUGCCAAAAAACAAAAGAACCCUAGAAUUUGACCACAUGUGACGCAAACAGUAACAAAACCCUACCUUCCGGAGGGCGGUGGCAAGCUCGCCACGGGUGAAGUUGGCGGCGGCGGCGGUGGUGAGGGGGAUUCCGUUCCUAAACUGGUAGAGGUGCAUGUUCUUCUGUAUGUACUCCGUGAACUGCACCCUGCGGGAUCAAACCCCUCGAUCAUAACUACGAUCUCCAUGGGACCCUAACAAACUAAGAUCGAUCGAUAGAGCUAUCGAUCGAGAGAUCGCCAGAGUUGAAGAGGAGGGAUGGAAACGUACCUGUCGCCGCCCUCGCCAGAGGCGCCGAGGAGCUUGUGGGAGUCGAGGAGCAUGACCUUGUCCUCGUCGGUUUUGUGGACGAGGAUGCUGUGUACGGCGGAGGUGUCCGCCGCGACCACGGCGAACCCGUCGCCCACCAUCCCGAACACGCACUCCAUUCGCACUAGGGUUUCUUCUUCUUCUUCUUCUUCUUCUUCUUCCUCGGAUCGAUGGAACAACAAUUGAGGAGAGGACGACGAAACGACGAUGGGGGGUUUUGGGUGGGACGAGUAUGAGAUCACACGAACCGGACCGGGUCGGGUUUCCAGGCUAAAUUUCGUGGACCGGAUCGACCAAAGCACGUAAACGCCCAUAUUCGGUCCGGUCUAGUAAGCCGGGCAUAAUGGGCCGAAUUAGAUGGGUUAGGCACCUCAUUUGAAAUCAAAACUACCAAUCAAACCGGAUCCUGAUUUAGAUCCUUCGUAUCAUAUAGUAGUUUGUUAGUACACUCUUUACGUAGUCGAACUCUGCCUGUGAGAGUUAUCUUCAGGCAACUAUAAAUUAAACUCCCUCAUUCAAUCUCGAUUUUAGGUUGCUUACUGGGACAGUAAUGAAAUAAAGAAGUAAAACGCACGUACGGUAGUUUAUUAGUACACUCUUUACCUAGUCAAAUUCUGCUUGUGGGAGUUAUCUUUAGGCAACUAUAAACUAAACUCCCUCAUUCAAUCUCGAUUUUAGGUUGGUUACUGAGACAGUAAUGAAAUAAAGAAGUAAAACGCACGUAUGGUAGUUUAUUAGUACACAUUUUACCUAGUCAAAUUCUGUUUGUGGGAGUUAUCUUCGGGCGACUAUAAACUAAAUUCCCUCAUUCAAUCUCGAUUUUAGGUUGGUUACUGAGACAAUAAUGAAAUAAAGAAGUAAAACGCAUGUAUAGUAGUUUACUAGUACGCUCUUUACCUAGUCGAACUCUCUCCUUGUGGGAGUUAUCUUUAGGCAACUAUAAAUUUAACUCCAUCAUUCAAUUUCGAUUUUAGUUUGGUUACUGGGACAGUAAUAAAAUAAAAAAGUAAAACGCUCUUUUCAUGACAUAGUUUAUUAGUACACGCUUUUAUCUUAGUUGAAGGUAUAGCUCGGGCACGUUUUCCUGCGGAGAUCUUUGUACAGACAAAAUCUCAAUUAGCCAAUGAAUAUUCACAAUUAUGACGAUAUAAUCCGAUCUCCGCAAUGUACGUUUAUUAGAUAGAUCAGCAAUGUUGAUUGUAUACUUGUUGAGUUAAUUAAUAAAGGAUGAGUUUUGAGUCGUCACCUCACCAAACAUUACGUACGUACCCAACUACAUGAAGCGCCGAACAUUCAAUUCAAUAAUUAAUUCGAGCUUGUUCUUUCAAAUGCAUACAAAAUUUUAAUACCUGAUCAAUAUAUGGUAAUUAUGAUUGCUCUUUAUAUAAUUACCCCACAAAUUUCAAAACGCAAAACGCAACCCAGCAGUUUUGCUGUUUCGAUUUUACUGUAAUAAAUUAAUUAAAAUGCAGAAACUUAAAUUUAAUAUAAACUUUCAUUCGUGUAAAUCUUGGGGACCUAAUGAACGCGUUGAAACGCUCGGUUCGACAAUCCGACGAGUGUACGCGAAGUUAUUGACGAAACGGUCAGUUUUGGUACAGAUAGCCGCAGCAUGCGGGAUAAGCGCCUAAAAAUCGUAAGAUCGGAACCGGAGCAUCUUGGAGUUAAGGAAUAAGCACCGGAAAAGGCGGAUCGUGAUUUGGAGGUCGUUCGUUAAGUAGCGCAAGAGUUCGGACCCAAACGGGUGCCGAGUGCCGCGGGAGGCCGAUUGCAAGUGUCGACAAGUAAUCGGAAUGCGAGUUAAGAUGGGUUGUGCUUACCGAAGCGACUAGGUCGCCCUUUAUGUCUUAGCAAUGUAAUCUCAUGUUGAUGCAUGUGCAUGUAGACAAGACUAAAUGGUGCAUUAAUAAAUAUGCAUAGAGUAAAUGCAAGUAAAGUAAAGAAUGUAUGAUGAGCAUGAUAAAUAAAUAAUGUAAGCAAGUAAUUGAAAUGCAUGAUGAUAAUAAUGUAUAGUGUAAAUGCAUGUUAAAUAAUGAUGCAUGGAGCCAUGCUAGUAAAUGUUAAGUAGAGAGCAUGAUUAAUAUAAGAUGCAAAUGCUAAAUGGAAAGCAUGCUAAGUAAUUAAUGCUAGUUGAUGUAAAGAAUGCAUGUACUAAUUAUGCAUAGAUGGAAAUGCUAAGUAGAGAGCAUAAUGAGCAUAGCAUGUAUAUAAUGCUAGUUAAAGUAGAGAAUGCAAAGUAGCAUCAUGAGAGCUAAGUAAGUGACAUGAUAACUCUAGUGUAAAUAGAGUUGAUUGGACAACUAGGUUGUCAGAUAGAUCGAGUGGCAUCUAACCUAGUGUUAAAGAACAUAGGUUGAUUAGUAAACCUAGAGUCGAACAAUCUAGGUGUGUGGCAUUUGACCUAGUGUUAGUAAACCUAGGUUGAACUAGUAAACCUAGAAGUGGACAUCUAGGCGAAGAUGACAAGAACCUAGCAAGUGUAUCUAGGUUAAGUGAUGUGGACAUAGAACCUAGAGUAUUGGAACCUAGGUUGAUGAGUAUAGUGGUAUAGCCACUAGGAUGAGCUAGGUCGACAGUAUAGGGUUGGCUAUGAACCCUCGACCUGUGGUAAGUGGAUUCCGGAAUCCCAGGACUUAUGAUGUCCCUGGUACAGGCUAGGGCGUUCGUGCGACGACUUCGCCGCCGAGCUUGGUACCGUGGGUAGAUUGGGGGCGAUCAUAUGGAGAUCACCGCCCGGGGCUUGAACCAUUGUCGUGGCGUUUGUGCGACGAUUUCGCCGCCGGAUGGUUAAGCCAUUUGAGGAUCAGACCGCCAGAGUAGACUGAAUCCAUGCUGGGUAAGUACGAUGCGGGUGCCUCCAGGUGACUGAGUCUGACAUGAUCGUUGUUGGGUGUGGUGCGACCCGUUCGCCGCCAGACGGUAUGUCAUGUCUCGAGCUCACGCUGGGUAAGUGCAACGCGAUCGCCACCGAUGGUCAAGUCUUAUGACUCGAGCCGUGUUCAGCGUGUGCGACGAUUUCGCCGCUAGGAGGCUGAGUCAGAGAGAGUGCGGUAGGCUGUUGAGCAGCCAGUGCGCGGACUAUCCGCAAAUGAUUGACUCGAAGCCGAAUCGGGUGAUUAGCUAUGAUAGGAUAGAGGAACCCUUAUGAGCUAGAGAUAGAGGCUUGAGCUAAGGUAAAUAGAAACCUUAGAAGCUAGUGGUUGGUGUUGUGAUCCUAAGGUAAUAGAAAUCAAAUAAUUUAUACUCCUUAAAACUUUCUUAACAUCAAAAAUAAAAAACCAAUUUUAAACACUUAAAAAUCACACACUUAAAAAUCACACUCCUCAAACGUAAAUAAAUACCACAAUAAAUCAAUCGAAAAAAAGAUAAAU